GUGUUUGCUUCUCGAGUUCUCUGUUGCUGGAAUAUGUUCUCCAUAACCUUCAUGUUACGCUUACGCCCCAAAAGAUCUAUUCCGCAAGGUGUAUUGACAAAGUAAAAACUAAAACCGAAAUAGGUAUCAUGCUAAUUUCAUUAAACGACUAGAUCAUUGUCUUGCUAUUAAAGAUAUUUCUAAACAUUAACAACCAGCUGGGGGCGUGCAAAUUACUGCAGGAAACUCCGCCCAAGGUAAAUACAAGGCUCAAGCCUGACUCAGCAAAGAGCCGGUUGCUUGACUACAAACCUCCCUCGGUGGACGCUAGCUUCCAAGAAUCCAUCAAAUCAAAUAAAUCAGCCUCUCACUUAUCCCAUAUGAAUUCAUCCCAAUAUAUAAACCCUUCAAUACGGCUGAAACAAAAGGAGUCGUCAAAUUCCCUUCCAUGCACAACCAUUAAUUAAUUGCGAGAAGUUUGGUGCGUUUUGCUCAUAUUAUGAGUAGGGUGGUGUACCAGGCAGGAAUGAGGGCGGUGCAGGGGAUGAAAGAGCAAGCAUCAAAGCACGAUUCUGCCGUCAAGACUUUGAAGGACUCCACUUGUGGUUCAUCAUCAUCAUCAAGGCACUGCUCAACGAAGGUCUCUGCAGGUGCUCUUGAUUCUUCAACUAUUAACAAGGUUGCUGCCAAGACUGACAAGCUGAAACAAGCUGAAGAAUCUCUGCGGACGGUCAUGUUCUUAAGCUGUUGGGGUCCUAAUUAACCAUAUGUUUCUCUUAACCUAGAAUUCAUUUCUUAUGUUUUUUUUUUUUUUCAUGUUUUUGUUUUGCUGGAGUAAAGUGUAAUAUGAAACAGCAAGAAAUGUUGAAAUCGUUGCUUGCUCCUGUACAUAACCAACAUAUAACCAAAACAUGUGAUAAAAUUGUAGUCAGUUCGGUUCGCCAAAACUUGAGCGAUUAACCAGGAUUCCAUCUCGAAACCUUUUUUUUUCUUGGGUGAAAAUUUUCCAAUCAGUUGGGUGCUUAAUUGUAAUUUUACCUGUCAAUAAAACUAUAAAACGUUUGUUGGCGUUUCGAAUUAUUAAAUGAAAAAAUCAGCGGAAGAUGAUCGAGUAAAUGGUUUAAAAAAAAAACAUCCCGGGCAUUGUAGUUGCAGAGUUUGGGUCCUGCGAACGAAGCUAGAGCCUAGAUGUCUGUUGAUAGUCCAGGGAGUCAACAGGCCCAUGAGCCUUAUGGUCCAAUUUGCACAAUUUGACAUGUUAGCGGAAAAAAAAAAUUGUUGUCCUGCUAUGGUUUGUGCAAAUCGGACAAGUCAUAAUUUCAUGGCCAUGUUGCAACUUUUCUCCUAAAUUUCUGAAAAAAAAAACACUAAUUUGGUAUAUGCUAUCAAUAUAUAUUAUAUAAAUGUAUGAUAUAUAUAAUUAAAAUUAAAAUUAAUUAAUAUAAAACAUCCAAUAGUAUUAAUAUAUAUAUAUUCUCAGUAUAUACAGAAAAUUAAUCUAAAAUAAAUGUGAUACAUUGGUCUUUUGUUCAGGAUAGAAAUGAAAAUGCCGUACUUGUGUUGUGUAAUGACUAGAGAUGAUGAACAUUCGUACCAAUAAAACUAAUAAAUAAAUAAAAAGAUGAUGAUAAACAUGAAAUGAUGCAAAUGUCCGAUUCCAUUUCAGCCACACAAACACAAACUCGAUAAAAGCCUUCGAUAAACCCCCCUCAAUUCUGAGCUUCGACCCCUCUGCCAUUCUUUAGCCGGGCGCCAAGAAAAUUACAGUCAACCCAUAUGCAUAUAUCUCUUCGUCCAAACAUCUCCAAAAUGAAUUCUGCACUCAAAUAUCCUUCUAAAAGACCAUCAUGUAUUUCCAAUCAUUUCAAGCUUCCAAAAGCUUGCAUCAAAAAAGGGCAAGCGAAUUACGCUUACACCACUGCUUAUUCAAGAAGAGAACUAUCAGUAAAAGCAUGCAGUCCUAGUAGCAGUGGCGGAGAGAAAAAGACUGCAAGGCGCAGCUUCUUGUCUCUAGAAGAAGCGGGUUUAGUGGAAGUAUCCGGCCUCAGCCCUCAUGAGCGUUUUCUAUGUCGGUUAACGGUAUGCUUCUUCUCUUGGUACAAUUACGCAAAAGUUAAAAAGCAAAAAAAAAAAAAAAAAGGGGUGUCCAUGCGAUUCAUUUAAUCUGAGCUCUGAGUGUUUUAAGUUUUAGCAGUAAUUUAUUUAGUUUACAAAUGAAAUGGUGCAGGUAUCGUCACUGAAUCUGCUAAAAGUGAUAGCAGAGCAGGAAGGGUGUGCGAUUGAGGAGCUGAAUGCGGGGAGAGUUUGUGAUUGGUUUUUAAAAGAUAAGCUGAAGAGGGAGCAGAAUUUGGAGUCUGCGGUCCUGCAAUGGGAUGAUGAUGAUGGUCCAGAUUUCCAAUUUUAAGCCUUAUUCACGUCUACUCCUAGGUUCCUACCAAAAGCAGAUGUGUCAUUACAAAAUUUUCUCAUGAUUUGAUUUGAUAUUCACUACUGAUUGCUCCUCCAAGAAAUGACAUGAACAAAUCUUGAACAACUUCUGCAGGUGAUUAUUGACUAAAGGAGGAUAUUAAUGCGUUGAGCUGUUGAUGAUAAUUAAUUAGGGGAGGCUCCUAUUCUGACAGCUCAAAAGUACUCAACGAUCUGUUUUAAUCCUAAUCCUAAACAUGAGUUGCUUUUUGUUUGUUCUCCAAUUGCAUGUCCACGUAAAAGUGUAAUGGGGUAAGGGAUGAUAUUCGUCUAUCUCCUUAUAUAUUAAUUAUCACUGGUAGUACCUGUUUAAGUUGGCAGAUUCAUUUUCUUGCACAGCACAACUGAUAGCUUUUGUAGUUUUUGGUCCACUGGACAGCUUCGGUAUGGGAUUCUUUCUUGGAUUGCCAUUUUUUUUUUCUUUUUAAUUUUCCCCCCAAAAAUGUUUGUGAGGAAUAUUGCACCAGAGAGCAUGUAAUUUUCAUCAAAGUCACUUGCUCCGAGAGGUGCUAAUUAAACCAAUGUAGUUCUAUGUCCGCUAAGAACAUCAUCCCAAAUAGGGGUGCAAACGAAUUGAGCCGCUCGAUUCGAGCUCGACUCGAGCUCGAGUUCAAAACAUUAAACUCGUUAGUUCGCGAGCCGGGUAUAUAUAUAUAUAUAUUUUUUUUUAUAUUUUUAUUUUUAAUAAUAAAAUUAUAUAAAUAUUCUUAAUAUUUUAUUAUUUAUUAAGAAAAAAUAUUAUUUUAUUUAUUUUUUAAAAAAUAAAAUAAUUAUUUUUUAUUUUUUUCGAGCUCGAUUUUGAAAAUUAUCAGCUCGUCGAGUUCGAACUCGAUGAAAUUAAGUCAAGUCUCGACUCGAUAAGGCCAAAGUUUAACUCGGCUCGACUCAUUUGCACCCUAAUCCCAAACCAAACCACAAUAAAGAAAAAUCCCCACAUUCUCACGCGAGAAUAACAAGAGAAGUAUUGAAGUCUACCUUCAGCAGCCAGAGGGCCUUUUUUGUGUUAAAAUAGAAGACUGGUUCAACAGCAACAAGAGAAUUACAGUUGUAGUCCUUUGAAUUUUCAAAUAGUUUCAAUUUACUGGUUUCGUGUUUUAGUUCCAAGUUAAAAUUAUUCUCAAUACUUUAAUAGUUUGCACAGUAGUAGUAGUAGUUGUUGUUGUUUUUUAAUUAUAAUUAACCCGAAAAAAUGACUAAAAACAAGAGAAGUUACUUUACAUGGGUUUGUCCAUCUGUAUAAGAAAUAGGUAACCAAAUUUUAUAUGCACGAAGAAAUUAAUUAAAUUAAGGAUAAUUAUACUCGUGGGGUUCAUUCAAACAUCUCGAAUUUGAACUGAAAUUGCAAAUGGGUUAAUAUUACUGUUACGAUUGGAUGGAUGGAUGAUGCAAGUGUGUAAAUUUACCUCAUCUCAAUUAGUAAAAUCAUGUUUUGCAAACCAAACACUAAUCCUCCCUUUAUAGAAUCAUAUGUCUAAAUCGACAUUAUUAUUUGAAUAGCAGACUCCACUGACCACAGAGAAAAAAUUUAAUAUGAUUCGGACAUUCACGGUCAAAAUUCUCAAGUCAAUACGCGGAGUCAUUUUAUUUGGUGACCCACUCCCUCAAAUUCCAGUGCUAUAAAAAUAAAAUAUUAAAAUUUGAAAACUGGUACACAUUGAUCGCAUAAAUUUUAGACAAAAAAGGGGAGAAAGUCCAAGUGAGAUUGAUAAAACCGCGUGAAAUUUUCAUUCUCAGCCCCACUAAUGCCUAAUUCUAUUUCAUCUUCCUCUCUCUCUCUCUCUCUCUCUCUUCUUUUUUUUUUUUUUUUUAUUGGGUACAUAUGAUGCUUAAAUGCAGUUGCAUCCGUAAAGAAGAAAAAAAAUUUCUUCCCUAAGAAAAGGAAAAUGUUUUAUUCGCACUUUUCAAAAAAUUUCAAGGAUCAUUCUAAUAGUGUGUACGCUAUCAUCAUUGGAUAGAUGAUAAUUAUGUAAAAUUUAAAUUUAAAAUUUAACUUUUGCAUAUAUAUUAUAGAGGUGAUGGUAUUUAAAUUAUUAGUGUAUAUAAGUUUAUUCAAACGUCUUAAAAAAAUUUUUGACUCAAAAAAUAUACAAUUUUCUUGAUUCAACAAUAUCAAAUUUUUCUGUUAAUAGUGUAUAAAUUGUCAGUGUAUAUAAGAUUUACUCAAUAUUUUAAAGAAAAUUAAUAUCUUGACUCAGCAAUAUCCAAUUUUCUUUAUUCAGCAAUGUCCAAUUUUCCACGAGAAAAUCUCUUCCUUCCCUUUUUUUUUUCUUCUCAUUUCGCAUUGCUAUCGAUUUCCUUGUUAAGCAAUAAAUUAUUGCACUUGUGUUGGCAUCCCCAUGAGAAAUGUUAAGUAUUUAACCUACUUAGGCAGCUCGUACGUAGACUCAUCCAUCCAUUAAGAUUCUAUCUUUAUUCUUCUUUCUUAUCUGCUUCAAAUCCAACCUGUUAUAUUAACUACAGAUUCUCCCGAAAACUUUCCCGUUAGAGAACUGAUUGCCAAAGCGCCGUCGCCUCCACUUCAUACUCACCGGUAAACAAGCUAAAUUGUUGCUUAUACCUCCGGCGAGUAAUGGCAAUCGCCGACAACAAGUCGGCUUCUGAUGGAAAAGUCUGGGGCCUGUUUAAACUUCCCUUUCGAAGUUCCAAUUCUUCUGCUUCGUCUUCGCAAUAUGCAAGUCAGCAGCAGCAGUACAACACACGCGCCGAUGGAUCGAAUGCAAACGCGAGUAACAGUUCCAGCUCCGUCUCCUCUGUCGCCAGAUCUCUUCUCCGUACACGACGUCGUCUGAAACUCGAUCCUUCCAAUAAGCUCUAUUUUCCAUGUAAAUUACUCGCCUUUUCGUAUUUUUCCUACUACUUCAAGUCAACUAUUUCUUUUACGUUUUCCUACUUUGCCUAUUUGGUAAAAGUUUAAGUUGUACUGUUUAUCAGUGCAAAUAGGUAAUAAAGUUAUUAGCUGUAAUUUUUUUUUUUUUUUGGUAAUUUUCGCAUAUAAAUGUCCAUAUGUCUAAGUGCUUGCUUUAGCUGUUGCUGUUGGAAAUUUUACCCCUGAAUAUGAAUUUUCAGUUAAUUGUAUUCGAUAUGAAGUGUUAAAUUGGUAUGGACACUAAAUUUCACUAAUUAAUGAUUGUUGUAGAUUUCGUCAAAACAGGAAUUAAACAAAGGUUUAGAGAUGGUAAAAGCUUAAGUAAGUUUUUCACGUAGAUUUAGCUUUUGAGGAGAAAUGAGGAAGUAUAUGGUUCUAAAGAAGUAGUAUGAUUCUCUUGAGAAUAAUUGUAGCCUUUUAAGAUAGGCUUCGGCUUAGUUAUUGUUAAAAAGCCAAUGUCAAGUAUAUGAUUGUGAGAUUUCCUGUUACUGUUGUCUCUGGUGUUUCAUGUGUGUGCAGUGUGCCAUUAUUCCUUUUCUUUGGAUGGCUAUGAUGGAAUGGAGUUUAUGCUCUGGUAAGGUUGGGGUGGGGUGUGUAUAAGCUUCUUGAUUCCCUAGGAAGAAAACUUCACUGGGUCAACCGAUCUCUCUCUUAAAAUGCGGUCAAAUUAGAGAAUCCGCAGAAUUAUAAAUUUUUAUUGAAUGCCUUGCCUGUGUUACUAUUGCUUAACUAAUCUAAUGGAAAUAAAUUUUUUACCUUUUGCUAAUCAUUACUUUAUUUCUGCGCCUGCUUCAUGGUGUUUGCUGAUAUUCUAGCAAAAGGACAGAAUUUGUUCCACUGAUUGUUUUGGCAGCAAUUAUUAAUUGUGUCGUAUUUUGUCGCUAGCUAAAAAUAGCAAGAAGGUGAAGAUUCGUGACAAUGUGCCUUCUGUUUGGAACUGGCGCAUUUGGGUGAAGAGUUGUGACAUUGUGUCUUCAGUUGGGACAGGGUUACAAAUGUCAAGAAUCGGUCUUUAAUUAUUAGUUCAGCACAAGUUUUUAACUAGUUAGCAUUCUGCUUUUUGUGCCUUACAUGCAAUUUGUUGUAUACAACAACUAAUCAUGUUAAUGAUCAAACACUUUUGCAAAUAAACAUUGUGAUACCACAUGUUCAUUUUGGUGUCAAAUAAACAUUGACCUCCUGGCUGCAAAUAGUUCUCCAGUCCUUUUUCCCAAUACUGAUAUUGAAUAAUCUCUUUAGAUUGUUUUGGAGGUUCAUUUUUGCUUUGCCUACAUUUUUAUGUAGUAUUUGGAAUUCUGUAUUUGGUAACUUGGAAUAUUUACCUUUCUUGAUUGAUCUUUGUGUAUUGAGUGAUAGGCGUCUUUUAUUUGUUUCUGCCUUUUCCCAGAUGAACCUGGUAAACAAGUACGAAGUGCAAUUAGGAUUAAAAACACCAGCAAAUCUCAUGUUGCCUUCAAGGUAUGUACCAUGAGUACUUCUGAUGCAAUCUUUCAGAAUAUGUAAAUGCUUUAAGACUGCUGAUAAAUGGUAGACAAAUGCAUUGCUUAACAGCCUCUUCCUUUUUGUUUGGUUCGAACUAUCUAGAUCAGAGCUCUAUAACCGUUUGUUUUUGUUGCUUCUUUUAUCUGAUUAGUGGAAUUUGUCUAUUUUCCUGUAGUUCCAAACAACUGCACCAAAAAGCUGUUUCAUGCGACCUCCUGGAGCUAUUUUAGCUCCUGGUGAGAGCAUUAUAGCAACAGGUAACCUGAUCAUUAUGUUAACCAAUUUGUGCUUGCUAUCUACAUUGCUUUUUUCCUUUUUGACAAGUGUGCUUGUGAAUCUGACAAAUUUGUCUUUCUUAUUUUGGGUGUUUCCAGUAUUUAAGUUCGUAGAGCAACCUGAAAACAAUGAAAAACCUACUGAUCAGAGGAACAGGGUGAAGUUUAAAAUCAUGAGCCUAAAGGUGAAGGAACCCAUGGAUUACGUACCUGAGCUGGUAUCAACAUUCGUUCUUUUUAUGCCUUUUAUCCUUUAUCUUUGCUUUGCUGUUUGGCUAUAAGUGAAAAAAAUGGAGCGACUUUCAGUUAACCACACUUUUGUUUAUUUCAAUUGAGAUAUGUUAUCUUGGUGGGCGAACUGAAAACCGUUCUUUGAAGCCACUAUCUACUUUAGAUUAUUUUUGAGUGUCGACUUCUAAAUCCAUAAUCACUAAUGGUAACUUUAAUAUGCUACGCCUUAGCCAUAAUUAGGUUCUGAUAUUUUGAGAGGAAAAAAAAAAUUGGCGGUCAGCUUACUUCAUCCACUAUAAAAGUGACUUGUGGAUCACUACCCAGCUUUUUACGCAUGCAUGUAUGCAAUAUCUCGUUCACAUUUAUAUUAGUAACCAGCAAGAUGUGGUAACCAGUAUGUUUUCCUUGGUUUUUACGAAACAGAAAAAAGCGUCAUUUUGGGAUUUUUCCUAUACAUUCUUGUCAUUUUUUGUGUUUGUGGGCUCAGUUUGAUGAGCAGAAGGAUCAAGUGGCUGUGGAGCAGAUACUGCGGGUCGUUUUUCUAGAUGUAGAACGUCCAAGUCCUGUAAGCCAAUAUUAAUUCCCACCUUAUUAACAACUCUAAUGACAUAGACGAUAAUAAGUACUUAAUAAAUCUGUUAAUUUUGCUAGGCACUAGAAAAACUGAAACGCCAGUUGGCAGAGGCAGAGGCUGCUCUUGAGGCUCGCAAGAAGCCUCCAGAAGACACAGGUCCAAAGAUUAUAGGUGAAGGACUGGUUAUUGAUGAAUGGGUGAGCAAUCUUCUAACAUUCUUCUAUAAUCAUAUGACCCUUUGUUUGCGCAUCUUCCAUAAUAUUUACUGCCAACUGUGUUUUUAGUGAAAUAAAUACUCACUUUUGCUUUCUUGCUUGCAUUUACUUUCAGAAAGAGCGAAGAGAAAGAUACCUUGCUCGACAGCAAGUUGAAGGGGUAGACUCUUUGUAAAUUAUGAAGUGUGCAUCUGGUUUUACUAUGUUAAAGCAUCCUGUAUUUGCCGUGACUGGUUUGAAGAUAUCAGUGGACAGUCAAAUGUAAAAAAUGCUAGUGUGCAGUCCUGUAACUUGAGGCGCUACAACAUUUGGUUCUUGUAGAUAGCGUGGUUUGUUUUGUAGAAGGCCGAAAAUGCCUAUCCAGCCGAAUGUAAUCCAAACCUCAGAGAAUCAAAUUCUCUUGGGUUAAGGCAUGAGUUGCAAAUUUUAUGAAUGAAUUUAUGGUUUUCAAUUAUUGAGACUAUGCAUUGAACAAGAAAGCCCACCUUGACCUCCUUAGCUUUUCUUUCUCGUGAAAAGCUAUUUCCUAUUUGAAACUAAGGAUAAGUUGCAAAUCUUAUGACCGAAAUUCUACGUCGCAUUGUUGAGCCUACGUCGAAAGAGUACACCUUGAUGUCCUUAGGUGUCAUUCUGGACUGGUACAGCUUAUUUUUAUCAGUAUGUAUCUCUCUAUCUAAUUGUGGUUCUUUGUAUCAUCAGAAAAUAGGAGACAGUGCAUGUGUUUGAAAAAUGCAAAAUGCAAAAGAGUUACGAGGGGAAAAGCCUGAUCAAACCUGAUAAGCAAUGCACUUGUGAUGCAUUAUUACGAAAUCAAUCCGUUAAGGCAAUGUUAUGCUUUAGGUCUUAAAAUUUUGCUUCAAUUGUAUACGUAUGUCCUAGAAAAUAGAAAUCACACUGGAAAAUGCAAUAAUUCAGCCUGAGUGAGAAGUGAGACGUAGUAGCCGAAAAUGGCAUUGGGGGACGGUCCAAGCACACAGAAACAUAUUUGGACCAUUUAACUAACUUUGGGCAUUGGGUGGGCUGUCGACAACCUGUGUUAACAGAGAGCUAGAGGGCCCAUGACUCGGGAGUGAAUUUUUGCAGGUUUGUGGUCCUUUUGAAUUACUUUUUUAAUGCAAUGAGAGAAAUUUCGGUAAAAAGAAAAAAAAAGAAAAGAAAAAUGGACUACCUAACUGUGGCUUAUGAGCCCAGUUUUUUUUUUUUUUUUGGGAAAAUAAAAAAUCAUAAUUUUAAGAUGUAAAGGGACAUCUGAAUUGGAAAAAAUAAAGGGAAAAAAAAAAAAGCAAUAGCGUAAAAUGAAAGAACGGAAGGCACCUCAUAGUUUCAAUAGUCAUGAUAAUUGUUUUAAGGGGAAAGGAAAAAGUCAUCGUGGAGUUGAAUCAGGCAAGCUAGGCUCAAGAGGCAAAAUUAGAUUUUUAUUUUUUGUGAAAAAAAGGAUGGAUUUGGCUCUAGUAACCACCAUGGGACAAGGCAUGCUUCCGAAUCACGGGUAGUCCUUCAAUACAAUUCUCACACCUGCAACACAUGCUUCCAAAUUAUAGAUAGCCACCAACACAAUUUUCACAUUUGCAGUGAAAUUGAACAUACAAUCUUUUAUAAGGAAGUGAUCUAUUCUUAUCAAUUAAGUCAACUUGUGUUGAUAAGGCAAAAUUAAAUAGAUUUCGUGACAAUGUCUGCUAGAAAAUAAAUGGAUCUUAUGGAAACACCAAAUUUUCGGCACUUUUGUCACGUUUUCCAUCGCUUUUUUGCUUGCAGAUAGGUUGUUUUGAUAAUUUCUAUUUAUUCUUCAGGUUCCUAUUUAUGUCAAUUUAUGCCCCCCCUAAAAAAUUAAAAGAUGUUGAAUUCUAUUUAUUUGUAUCUCUCGUAUAUUUCAACUUCUCUAGAUUCGACCUCAACCGACUAAAUUAAACAUUAACAUUCUUUUUUAACAAAACAAGAGGAAAAAAAAAAGAAGACGAAGAAAUGGAAUCUAAUUCAUUUAGAUACCCCAUCUAAAUUCUAUCCAUCUAUUUUAUAGACGGGGUGUAUCCCAUUGAAGUGGAAAACAAUAAUAUGUAUUUAUUAUGAUCUAAACUACAAAUAUGAAUGUGAUUCAUAUCAAUUAAUUUAUAGAAGAGAGACUUGCACAAAUUAAUCAUGCGCCAGGAACCAGGUUUGAACCAGUACAUCAGAUAACUUUCAAUUAAAAAACAGAACUAGCGGAGACAAAAUUGGUGAUAUGUCGCCGUACAACUACGAAAAGUGAGGUAGAUAUCCAACAAUCAAUAGUCAGACAAAAUAGGUCAGUUUUCAAGCCACUAGAUAUUUCUAAAACCACUGUCCCUGGCCAACUGAUUAUCUUCCUAGAAGUCCUAUAUAUCAACAAUUGGUCACUCGAUCUUAAGUAUUGAAUGAAGGACAAGAAUUUGCGAGGGAAUUGUUGAUUGAAUUGAUCAAUAAAUGAGUUAUGUCAGCAGAGUUUCUAGGGGGGGAACUGGUACAGCUGCCCAGGGCCAAGAGGACCAAUGCUCCAAAUACAGCAGCUCUAGCCUUUUCGGUCUUCCUCCAAGUUGGCGUAGCAAAAGGUCCUCCCGUACCAGUAGUAUUGUGCAAGAAGAUGCAAGAAUUUCGAGAGCAGGUGGUCAGGGAGAAGAAGAAGAUAGGAAAAAGCUGGUGGAUGAGUCUUUUCAGAAGGUCAUGUUUUUGAAUUGCUGGUCACAGAGCUAGCAUUUUUAGACUUAAUAUUCGAGCAACUACAAUUGUGUUGAAAGGAAUAAAUGCGACUAUAGCAAUGAGAUUCAAGACAAUAAUUUCAUUACCAUUGAUGUUUUGCUGCGUUAUUAUUUGUUUAGAUGAUUGGCAACCAAUUCCACUCUAAACUAGUACAUAAUAGCUGCAAAAUACCUUAAAAAGCUCAUGUUUUUCAGAGCCAUCUCAAGUUUGCGACACGCCCUGUUUGAUCUCCUCUUCUUCUUCUUCUAUAGUCUAUGCGUGAAGCCCACAAAUGAUGUGGCCAAAUUUGCUGUGAUAAGAGUAGUAUUCGCUCAGCGGCUUUUUCUAUUCUAGUCAAUAGAGGCCAAAUUUCCUCGUGCGGUGAAAAUCAUGCGAGAUUACGACUACUAGUUAGAUUCUGCAGUUAUAAUGUCAGAUUAUAUAUAUUACAGCAGUAUUUCUCAAAUCCCUCCUUGUACUUCUCCCGUCUCCACCUUGACAUGGUUACUUUGUUGUCACCGGCUCCAAUGAUUAGAUAACGGUGCAAUUUUUUUCCCCUUGUUUUCUGGUUCAUUCAACUUGUAGUACUAUAAACUUGUAGUGAAAAUAUCAAUAUGAGUUUGUUUGGAUAGGAGGUUAUUUGAGAUAAUUACUGUAAUACUUUUGAUGAUGUGAUGUAUGUGAGAUAAAAAAGUAGUUGAAAAUUGUAUUUAUGACGUAAGUAGGAAAAAAUUUGAAAUUUUGUAUCAAGGAGGGGGGUGUAGAAGAUGGCCAAAGCCACCGAAUUUGUGAACAUGGCUGCUUUUAUCUUGCUUCUUUUCAUUAUCACGUCGGCUGAUAUUGGAUUUGGAUGGACAGGACCAGUCAUGGUAAGUCUUGGCAUAUACACAAUCCAUCCAUGAUCCCUACUGGUUUUCUCCUUCAGCAUUUCCGUCCCCUAAUGAUCAUCAUAAUGAUGCAAAAAUAUCCAAUCACUUGUUAACAUUUAUAGAUUUGAAUUUCAUAUGACAAACUUUCUUAAUACCAUUCGUAUCUGCUGUUGAAAUGAACUGAUCAAGUCCAACAUGUGACCAAGUGGUGCCCAAGGAUUUCCCCAUUAUCUAAACUCGCAUUCUUGGCCAAUAGCCUGUUGGCAACCCCCAGACUUUAGAACUCUUUACCUUCCACCAAAUUUAUCAUUUAAUUGUGGCUGCCAUUUUCGAGUGAUUUUUUUCGACUGAGUUUUCCGUUAACUCCCCUUUCCUUAGACUAGAUUAGAAUAGGUUAUAUAACUAUAAUCGCUGCGAUUAAAAAAAAAAAAAAAGGCCCAAUCUCAACUGUUUUAUAGGCCAGUGGCCUUGCGUUAAUGGACGUUCAGAUUGAGACCAAUUGAUGUGGCCUACUUUGAGCUAAACUCCUACUUCUAUAGAUGCUGGAAGCCCUUAAUCGUAUUAAAUAGUAUGAAUGGGCCUUUGAUGAGGUUCAUGUAUUUUGUUCAACUAGACACGUUUUCCAAUGGGCUACGAGAAGAUCUGCUGUAGGCCGCGCCCAUGCGACGUCGCUCAAAUUGACCCAUGUCCAACAGUGUAGCAGUCGCUGCACCACCCACAAUUGGAAAAACAAAAAAAAAUUUUUUUGUUUUGUGGGAGAUAUGCAUCCAUUAAAAAAAUUUUGUUUUGUAGGAGAUAUGCAUCCAUUAAUUGUUUUAGGAAAUCAAAGUACUAAGGAAUGAGUUUCGAAAUUAAUCGCAGUAAUACAUGUAAUUUGAUUAAAAUUUGGAAUGAAUUAACGGGUACAAUAAGUCUUUUCUCCAAAAAAAAAAAAGUCUCCAAAAAAAAAAAAGGGGGGGGGGGGGAGAGAAAAAAGAAAUGGCAGUUUUACACUGGUCCCCUCAUCCGUCGUUGCAUCCAUCGAAACGCCUUGUUACUUUAUGAUGAUCCACAUGCCCCCAGCUAAAGUAUGCUAAUCAUCCCUUAUGAUUUGCUAUUGUUUGGAUUGCAUUUUUUAGGAUUUUUUUGUAGAAAAAUUACUGUAGCGAUUUGAUGUAUGUGAGAAAAAAAGAUAAUAGAGAAAUGUGAUCACGGAAAACAACAGAAUUUUCCGACGGAAAAUUGCUGUCCAAACGGGUCAUCAUCUACAUGUGAGAGAUAUUUCCAUUAUGAUUUGAUAAUAAUGCAUCAUCAUCAUUUAUAUUAUAUAUAUAUAUAUAUAUAUAUAUAUAUAUAUAUAUAUAUAUAUAUAUAUAUAUAUAUAUAUAUAUAUGAGAGACAAUUCCAUUAUGAAUUUCUGGGCAGACCAUUUAUAGCUAAUUCCAAUAAUUUGCUUCAACCUUAUUUGUGAGAUUCCAGAGAAACUGUGUGUUAUCAUCAACCCAACCAAUUAUGAGAUAACGAAUCAAUUCCUCAUUCAACCACAUCUCCUUUGGACAAAGGCACAAAGUCGAUAACGAGACCUUUUUUUUUUUUUCCUUUUCUUAACCUUUUUUUUUUUUUUGGCUCGAAAGUGGGAAACAAGAUUCUAGCAACAUUGUGGUUCCGAAUGCUUCCCUCAUGAAAAAAGUUUAAUCUUGGAAGAUAACUACGUACGAAAAGCAGCUUCCAAAGCCAAGCACAACGUCUUUGCGUCUCCUUUUCGUCUAGCCUUUCAAUGCUUUUUCACGGGAAUAAACCAACCCCCUGCGCGCAUAUAUAUAUAUACACACACACACACACAAUGCAUAUGCAUCUUUAAUUACCAAAAGAAAAAUACAUGUACAUAUAUAUAUGUAUGUAUAUACGUAUCACUGACCCUAAUUCAUUUAUGAAAACCAUCACAAAUUCUCAAUCUCAAUCAUAUCUAUUAGUAUUUUUUUAACACUAAUUCAAAGUCUCAUUAUUUUGUUAUUUUGCCUAAAAGAUUAUUAAAAAAAAAAAGGCUAUAUUGAAGCUUGGUAUAUACGUUUCAAGAAGAAAGAGACCGUGUAUUCAUGUUGGUAUCAAAAUUCACCAUAGUGAAGAAAAGAUCCAAAGCAAAAGGAGCCAUUAAUGUAUCCCUACUUGCUUCCUUGCAGUCGUGAGAACAUGCCAUAUUUGCUGGUUAAUGGCGAACAAGAACAAACCACACAACUACCUCCUCUCAAAAUCAUCCUUAUCCAAAAAUUAGUAUCAAUUGCAAGAUGCAAAGGUGCUGUCCAAUUGGAAAGCUGUUCGUGGAAUCAUGUGAUUCAUCUUUUCAAUCCGUAUUUGCAGAACCGUGACUUAGCUGAGUUUCCAACUUCCUACGUUCUUUAUCCAAUGGUGGUUAAGUGAACAAUAUCGUGACCAAAUUAAUUUAGCCAUCCGUCCUUUGAUUCCCAGAUAUAACACCAAUGCAAUGAAGAUCAACAUUAUUGUUCUUUGUCACGAAAAGGGUGGAAAAAGUAGAAGAUGGUGACUCGGUCAGUCUAAUCUGAAACGUGAGUUUUUUUUUUUUUUUUUUUCCCGGUUUCGUUUCCACUUGCAGAUUGUGAAAUUGUUCGGAAAUGGAUGUCAUGGCCUUAGGGCCUCCAUGAAUCAUGAUCAGAAAGAGCAACUUUCGGAAUUUCUGCUCUCUGUCGUCCAUUACCUGACAAUGCACAUUUCUUAAGUUCGGUUUCUAAUGAUGUAUAAUGUUUGGAUAAAAAGUUUUUAGAAAAAUUCUACAGAAUGGUACCGUAUCUUAUCUGUUUUGGGGUAGUAUUAUUGUGUGUUUGAAAUAAAAAUUUGAUUAAAAAUAAGAUGAUGAUUGAAGAAUGUGUUUAGGAUGCAACGAAAAGAACUUUCACAGAAAACGGACAAUCUAAUUGAGCAGAGUUUUAGUUUAGUAUAAGGCGUAGCACUCAUCCAUAUAGUGUUCACUAAAAAUAUUUGAUGCCAUUAGGAGAAGUAAUUUAAUGUUUCCUUUUGUAUACAACAAAAUUAGUAGUAACUUUGAAGGGUGUGGAGAGUGAGCGCAGUGUGACCCCGGAGCCAUUGAAAAAUUAGUAGUAACCAAAAACAGAUGAAAUGAAAACCAAGCUGGCAAAUCAAUAAUACUAUAGUGUAAUUUAUCGAGAUUCUGAGGGCCGGCACGGAACAAAGAGGAGGAGGAGGAGGUUGAUCUCUUCAACUUUUCCUUCAUUUUCUAUUCUUUAGUCUUGGAUUUUUGUAAUUUUGUUUUUGACAAGAAGAAAGAUAUUCCCUCCUACCUUAAGCAGUUAACAAUUUGAAUUCAAAUUGUAUGUCAUUACUUUGCUUUAAAAAAAUUUUUUUAAUGUAAGUGAAAGGUUUUAAUUCUCGAAUUUGGAACCUCUCACCUACACUCUGUUUCUCGCACCACCUAACUCAUCCUCCCACCUUUUAAAAAUUCUCAAGUUGAUCAGAAUUAAUCAAAUUGUUUUAGUUGACUCCAAUUAAGGGUGUCAACAGGUCAGGUUUGAAAUGACAUUUAAAAUUUCGGAUUCGGACCCAUUUUUAUGUAGUAAAUCUGAAACCGACUCGUAUACUCGAUGGGUCUUGACCUUAAGAGUUUCGAAACUAGGUCCGACAAGUCCGGGUUGGAUCCGGAUCUAAAAGGUCCAAAUUUAAAUAUUUUAAAAUUAAAUAAAAAACAAAUCACAAAUCUAAUCUCCAAACUUAAACAAAUCAAAUUACAAAACUAAAUCACAAAUACCUCGCAAUAGUCAAUCCAAACUAACCACAAAUCAAUCUACUAAGUCAUUACUAAAUUGUUAAUUUGGAAAAAGAAUGUAUUUAGAAAUAUUUAUAUUUUAUAAUUAUUAAUAUAUUAUUCGGAUCCGAGUUGAAUACGGGUCGGAUUCCUAUAUUCCCUAUCUACCCGUUUUUGUUAGAGUAAACGGAUUCGAAUUCGGAUACGGGUAUUGGAAUUAUUUUUCAAUCCAAAGCCAGAAAAACUUAUCGGAUCUGGGUCAGAUCCUGCCAAAACACGAUCCGUUAACACCCCUAACUCCAAUCUCCUAAUAAAAAUACUCUCUCUCUCUCUCUCUCUCUCUCUCUCUUCUUUUUUGGAAAGUGUCCUAAAUUGCAAAUACCUAUCAAAAUUUCUGGCUGUUGGGCAGGGGGACAUGGAAGGGGCAGGGGGACAUGGAAGGCUGCAACUUCAAUGCCUGAUCCCUUGUAUUUUCUAUCUUCUUUACUAUAAUAGUGCCAUACUCGUGUACCCAAGUACUUAUUUCUGCCUAGUUUUUGACCUUUUUUUUUUCCCGGAGGGGAAGAUGAAAUAAAACAGUCAUGUUAUCCCUGCCAUGGCCAGUUCAAUAUGGCGGUGAGUUUCGGUGCCAUAAUGCCCUUCCCAUUGCCUGCAUUAGUAAGCAGCGGAAGUACUCGCUUUUCCUGUGUUACAGUAUUCUGGUAGAAACAUAAAUGCAAACAAUAGAAAAAUGUGGGAUUUUCCCCACGUUUUGUAGCUAUUUGACACCUCUAUCUUCAGUAUUAAGCAAUAUGAACCCACCACUCGGUGCAUGCCACCGGACUAAUCUGCAGCGCUGUAUGGGCCUGUGGGCAGAAAUUUGAUCAAGAAACUGGUUGAAAGUCAAUGCCACCGUCACCUUGCCGAACUUACCCGCGACCACCUCGGAGACAUCCCGAAGAAUGGCACGACAGACUUCCCCGCACGACAGGUAUACUCCUUCCCAGACCGCCUUAUUCCUCGCCUUCCAGACAUGCCAACAGAUAAAACUCGGAAGAAUAUCAACCACUAAUCGCUUAUGCACAUCAGAUUGGGAAGACAGCCACCAAGCAACCAAUGUAUCGCGCAAUGGGACUUGAGAUAGAAAUAGACCACAAGUGGCUCCAAAGAAAUCCCAGACCGCCUUUGCCAACUGUCCUUGUGCAAAAAUAUGCUCUAUAGACUCCCCUUCGGACAGUGAGCAACAAAAACAUUUGGAUGGACCUUGGAUGCCAAACUUCCCCAGUAUGUCAUCCAACGGUAGCCUCCCCCUUAGAAGCCGUAACAUAAAGAAUAACACCUUCAGUGGGAUUUGAGGAUGCCAAAUGCGCGAAAAUAGCCAGGAAGCAUUCCGAGCUUGCCUCACCUUCUGGAAGGCGGAUGACAAGGAAAACUGCCCAGAAGGCGUUGGCAUCCAAACAACCUCGUCUGGCCGCUCUCCCUCUGGGGUUGGGUGCUGCAAGAUUAGUGCCAUGAUGUCACUUGGGAAAUAUUGGGCUAGUACCAGUGAAUCCCACCUCCCGUCUCUGAUAAAGUCCUUGAAUGUCAAUGCCCCGUUGACCGGAGUUCUAAGAAACAGAGCUCCAGAGCCCAACCAGUUGUCGUGCCAGAAGUCACAGGUUCCCGCAUUAACCAGCCACCGCAUGGCUAACUCCAUUUGUCGACUCGCAUUGACCAUUCGUUUCCAGGUAGAAGACGACCCUGCCCUAUACUCCACCUGACAGGGAUGACAGCAUCGACAAUAUUUUGCUUGUAAGAAAACGGCCCAGAGAGAAGAACCUGUGCGAAACUUCCACCCCAGCUUAUGAGAGAAGGCCGUAUACACGUCCCUGAAAUUAAAGACAUAAUGGCUACAUUAUGUUGCUCAAUCAUUCAACAACAGGUUUUUGCAAAAGGUUUUCAUUCCUCGACCGAAUCCGAUGUAUACUUGCCCUUCUUAACCAAGUAAAGCCCAACAAGAAGUACCGAAAAGUCUAGUACUAUAGUACCCGUAGACCUCAAAGCUGCAACUUUGUUUCAGCAUCCACUCCGGAAAUAUCUUUUUCUUGAGUGGUUUUCUCAGAUGCUUCAAGAAUUGGAAUAAUGGGUAGCAGUGUUAAAAUCCCUCCUUUGCAAUUAAAUUCCAGAGGAACCCUUCUUCUAUGGGAUAAAAAUAAAGAAAGAAAAAGUGGAUUUGAAUUGGUUCAAAUAAAAAAUGGAAAAUCAAAGAGAUGAGUAUUGAGUUUAAAGAAAACUAUGUAUGCAGUUGGUAGGGUGAUAGCUCAUGCAUUCCUUCUAAAUUCAGCAAAACCGAACACCAACUCAAACAAUCAGUUUCUUUUUGCUCCACAAUUUAUGAACAUUUCAUGCCCGCAUGAUCAAACAAUAAUGAUAUGUAAAUCUCAAGUCGGUUUCCUUGGAUAACUGAAAGCUCUCUGUCUCACUUUUUAGUUGCAAAUUCAUCUGGUCCAGACUCCAAACUGAAUUAGAAUUUGACAAAGUUUUGUUAUGUAGUUUGGUCUAUUUUGAAAUUAAGUCGAAGGCAUCCAUGCAUGUUUUGAAUCGUUGUAUAAUUUGCAUUAAAACCUGUAUAAAUUCUGCAAUUUGCAGAUAUAUGUAUCCAUUGAAUUAAGGACAUUCAGUUUUCAAAAAAAAAAAUUGCAUAGUACUUGUGAUCAUGAAGAGUCGUGCGUAGUGCGUGAUUCGCUAACAAUAUCAACUGUAUUAAAAUUUCUAUACAAUCUACCAAAUAUUUGUUCAAUUUCUAUGGCUUACUUUAUCCUUGUUUUUUUAGCCUCUUUACAAAUUCCAUACUUAAUUGGAUAAUUCAAUUUCUAUCAUCGACUUCAUCUUCAAUUUUUUUAAAAAAACUUCCCUAUAUCACAAUUGGUAUCAAAGUUGUCAAUUUUGUAAAAUCACAACCAACCAUUAUGGCAAUUGGUAUAGCAAGUUUAGCAAAACCACAACUCACACCAAUUUAAUGGACCAAGUUCGCUGUUGCUUUUGGAGUUCAACCAGCUAAUCCCAACUUUAAAGGGGAUUCCUAGAGAGGACUUCGUGAAUGAAAGCAUAAAAACAAGGCAUACCGUCCUUAUUGUCAUGUGCAGCCCAAACCUAGUUUUCAGCAAAUGAUUCUUCCACCACCCUGUCUUUGUCAAACUCCUGAUCAGCCACAUCCAUCUUCAUGAUUCUCAUGAAUAUAUCAGUAGCUUCUGUAUUUGAGCCAUUGGUUGAAACAGAAGGCAAGCUCCCUAGUGCAACUGGCUCAGGGGUACUAAUGGUGGCAGUUUUGUCUAAGAAGGUGGUUAUUGAAGAAAUUGACUUCCAACAGAUUCUGUGGGAGCAGUAUUGAAGUUGGCUUCUCCCUUGCUUCUUUACCUGAAGACUUCUGUACAGAAGCCAUAUUCCAUUCCUGUAACUUCUUGUGGAUUUCAAUCCUAGCCUUUCCCCUCAGCAUAUCUCGAAUUUCUGACUGUGAUAAUUCCCUUAAACUUCUAGGUUGGUUAUCAGAAAUAAUGACUUUCUCUGCUCCAAACCUACCCAUUUGGUUUCCAUAAGAAUUUCCUCGUCCACUAUCCACUGUCAAUUUUGAAAGAUCACAAACUACUUUUAUUCAUAUCUUCCAUAUCACCACUAAUACGACAAUCAUUCAUGAUCUUUUUCUCUUAUUGCUGUCCAAUAUGAGAAGAUUUACCGCGGUUGAUUUUGUAGGUACAACAACUUUGAAGAUAUUUCCUGAUUUGUUUACUUUUCUAUUCAGAAAACUACAGAAUCAAAAGAACACAUUCUUGAUUCCAAGAUCUUGAGAUGCUGUGUCGGACUGAAUGAGCUAGAUCAUUAGUGUUGAAGACCGGAAGUGCUAUGCAUUUUGUACUUUAAUCUUUCUUGAAGCCAUGUUUAAUUACUCUUAAAAUGUGCUUGAAAUAUUGUCAUCCAGAAUUUUCGUGCAAAGUACGUGAUUCACAAUCCAUAAAUUUGAACUGUCUUAUUGGUAUCACUUGAACAAGAAAUUAUAUAGGAAUUUGAAAAACAUAGCAAAAACCUCCCCAUAAAAAGAAAAUCAUCCAACAAAUUUGAUACUUCCAAAAAACAGUGCAAAUAGAAUAAAAAGGAGUAGCUUUGGAAGUUAAAUCAAUCAAAAGUUCAGUAAUUAGUGAUACAUCCAAAAAAAAAAAAGCAAUAUUUCCUUAGUUUCACCAAAAUAAUCACUAUUUGUAUGCUUAUAUCCAUACUCCUUUAUACUAAUAGAAUAAUCUAACUCGUAUUUGCUUCCAUCACUUAAUUAAUAGAGUAUAUUCUGUCAAAACAUUAGAAAAAGUCAUUCUCAAGAUUUAAAUGACAUAUGGUUCCCCAUAGCUGAGCAUCAAAAACCAAAAUCUUUCACUGUUACUAGUAGAAUUUCUGUCAUUUUAAAGAAAUUGAUCUUGUAUAGAUGUUAUAAAUACAAUUGAAGCUAUAGGAUAUUUAUUGCUUGAUUUUUUCUCACCUACGUUCUUGGAAUCUUAACUAUUACCACAUUGGAAUUUGUGUUCUUUAAGAUGCAUGGCUCUAAAAUUUAGUGGAUAUAAAUAGAUGUUACUCCCUCCGUCCCACUCUGAUAGUUCUGUAUUUCUUUUUUAUCUGUCCCAAAUUAUAGUCCACUUUCCAAUUGAAGAAUGUAGUUGUAUUUUAAUUUUUCUAAAAUACUUUUAUUCAAUGUAAAUAGUUAUUACUAUAAACCUACCUCAUUUAAUGAGAGUUGAUUCUUUUUUUACCAUCAAUUCAAGUUCCCAUAAAGUUGUACCAUAUUUAAUGUGAGGGUAUUUUAGAAAAAUAGCAAUCUAAAUUUACUUUUCCAACAAAAUUAACUACUUUUUCUUAAACUGUGUGAAAAAAGAAACGGGACUAUCAAAGUGGAACGGAGGGAAUAGUUACUCCCUCCGUCCCACUUUAAUAAUCCUGUUUUCCUUUUUCGUCUGUCCCAGAUUAUAGUUCACUUUCCAAUUGAAAAAUGUAGUUGUAUUUUAAUUUUUCUAAAAUACCCUUAUUCAAUAUAAGUUGUUGUUACUAUAAACCUACCCUAUUUAAUGAGAGUUGAUUCUUUUUUUACCAUCAAUUUAAGUUCCCAUAAAGUUGUACUCUAAUUAAUGUGAGGGUAUUUUAGGAAAAUAACUACCUAAAUUGAUUGUUUCAACAACGUUAACACUUUUUCUUAAACUAUGUGAAAAAAGAAUUAGGACUAUCAAAGUGGGACGGAGGGAGUAUUAAAUAUCUCUCUUUAAUUUUUUUUUUUCAUGUGUACCCAACUACAUUGAAAACUAAAGAAUCUAUAUCUAUAUAAAUUUGAGAAGGGAUUUUUAGCAACAAGUCUCCACGCAUCUUUUCACUAUCAAUUCCAUUUUUCUAGCAUUUCACAUUUAAUUUAAUUUAUAAAAUAUAUUUCUCUCAACUUCCAUAUCUACUUUUCACAUUUGAAAUUAUUUGUUACUUUUUAAAAUCAUUUCAUUUCAAAUUGUUGGUUAAUGUGCAUGUUAUCCUAUUUAAACUUCAACCCAUCACUUUUCCUAUUGUUUUGCGUUAUUUAUGAUUCUACAACAAUUAAAACUUCUAUAAGACCAUAAGAAGAAAUAACAAAUAUAACAUCCUUUCAUACUUUCUUAUUAAUUUAAACAAGUAAGAUUAUUUACACUCCAGUUUUGUUAUUCACACUUCAAUAAUCAUUUUGAUCAUAUAAUUUUCAUUAAUUAGACUAUAUGAUAAAAUAAAUAGUGGAAUUGCAAAUAAUAAAAAAUGAAGUGCAAAUAACAUUUUCUUAAAUAAUUAGUGGCUCCACUUAUAUAGCGGUUUGGUUUGAAAUUUAUUAGUGAGAGGGUAAAUAAAAAGAAAACAUUGCCAAACUUAGUAAAAGUAAAAAAGUAAAUGAUAAUAUUUUAUCUUUUAACUUAGUAAUCCUAAGUAAAAGGGCAAAAUUAAAUAGAAAACAAAAAGGAAAUAAUGUCGUGGAUUUAAAAAAUCAAGAAUAGUACAAUUCAUGAAAUCCAAAUUAUGAAAUCACUAAAUAAAAAACAAAGUACUACUAGCCUUUUAAUGUGAAUUUUUUUUUGAAAUAUUCAUUUUUGAUAAAAAAAAAAUAAUGAUAAUAACAACACCAAUUCUACCAAAAUUUUUAAAAAAAGCAACAUUAUAGUUUAAGAGAGAGAUAUAGAACAUUCAACCCUAAAAUACUACUUAAUUUGUAUACAUCUAGCCCAAAUUUGACAUUAGACUUAAAUAAGAGUACAAAACUCAAACACUAAGGAUAACUUUUGGUAUUAUUAAUUAUUUUAUGUAUUCUUAUUGCUGUCUUCAUAUGUAAAUAUGUAUUUGUUAUGCUAUAUAUAUAUAUAUAUAUAUAUUGAUUGUAGUACUUGAGGAUAUUAUAGAUAUUAUCAGUUUUUCAUUUCCAUUUUUAGAUACUAAUAAUUGCAACCAUUGUAAUCAAUUUUGAAUUUUAUAUUUUCAUUAUGAUAGGUAAAAUUAAAUAUAUUGGGUAGCAGGGAUAUGAAUUUAGAGGUUAGGUAUAGGAGGGGAGGGAGGGAAGAAAAUGGUGAGGAGUUGAAAAGUGGUAGAAAAGGUUGAAGAAGAAAUAUGGAUUACAAGGAUAGAUGGAGAAGGAGAGAAGAAAAAUGAGGAUUGCAGGGAUAUGACAGAGAUGACAAAAUAAUAAUAAUAAUAAUAAUAAUAGAAAGAGUGGUACCAUGAUAGAAGAUAUGAAAGUCGUAGGAGACAUCUGAUGACUAGCUGGUAGAUAAGAGAAGAGAGAAAUAAUGGUGAUUUUUAAUAAUUUUGAGAACUCUAAAAACACAUAUUACGGAGAUUUUUUUUAAAAUAUACGUUAAAAUUUAUGAAAAAUGCUAAUCUAAAUGCAGUCAACAAUUUUAGGGGCACAAGAUAGAAGAAAGAUUUUUUUUUCUAAAAAUGGAAGAAAAUAAAUUGGUUAUAAUUUAUUUUUUUAUAUUAUAAGUUUUGAUAUAUGGAUAUAACAUAAUAUGUUUUGUCUGAUAUUGAUAAAUUGACUUUUUUUUUAGAAAACUCUUCUUACAUUACCAUCCAACCUAACCCUCUCCUUAAAUGCGUUAACAAUUCUUUUAUCAUGUAAAUCAUUAUAGAUUAAUUUUUUUUUCAAAAUAUUAAGCAUACACUUCUUUAAAAUUUUUAGUAUAUAUAUAUAUUAUUCUAUACCACAAUAUAUAAAUAUAUAUAAUAUUAUUUUGAUUUGAAAUAUAAUUCCGUGCAUAGCACGAGUCAAAAUACUAGUUUGAUAGAAUGCAUGACAUUAAAGACACAAUGACGGAACUUAAAGUUAAAUAUUUUAAUGUACAAUGUUGCUUAAUCAAACAACAACAAACUUUCACGCAAUUUCCAUUGAUUAAUCACAAAGUAUUCCUUCGUUGGCUGAAUCUAUUUCAAUUAGUUGCCUUCUUCUUAUCUUAUCCUAUCAAUUGGACUAUGUGAGUUGGUCUUUAACAUGCUCAAACUCAGUUUACAUAAAGUAUCAUUCUUUUGAGUCCAAGUUUUACUCAACUAAAAUCACAUUUCGGAUAGGUCCAAACUCAUGUCAUGUACUUUUCAUGUUCACAAAAUCUAAUUAAACCAAACAGGCAACUAAUCCAUGGAAAAUGCACGACGGUGCCCCUCAUGGCUAGGCAGUUGGCCUUAGGCUGCACGACGGGCGUGGGCUUGCGUUGGUUAAGGCAUCGGCACGAUGGCACACCGACGGCAAGAAAAACGCACGACGGUGCCCCUCGUGGCUAGGCGGUGGGCCUUAGCCCGCACAACGGCCGUUGCCUUGUGUUGGCUAAGGCAUGGGCACGAUGCCACACCGACGGCAAGCAAAAAGCACGACGGUGCCCCUCGUGGCUUGGCGGUGGACCUUAGGCCGCACGACGGCCGUUGCCUUGCAUUGGCUAAGGCAUGGGCACGACGGCCUCACCGACGGCUAGAAAAACGCACGACUGCCGUGGGGUUUCGUGCCCAAGGCCACGGGUAAACCUCCGCAGCCAUGCUGGAAAAGCGUUGUGGUUUGGGAAGGGGAGGGACGAAUCGAAGCGACAAAGGGCUGAAUCUCAGAGGAUCGUGGCAGCAAGGCCACUCUGCCCCUUACAAUACCCCGUCGCGUAUUUAAGUCGUCUGCAAAGGAUUCUACCCGUCGCUCGAUGGGAAUUGUACUUCAAGGCAGCCAACGCGGCUCUUCCGCAGCGAGGACUUAGCCCACGACACGUGCCCUUGGGGGCCAGAGGCCCCUACUGCGGGUCGGCAUGUAUGCCCAAGAAUCAAGGUGGAUUAGACUUUCGGAAUAUGAAAGCCUUCAACUAUGCUAUGCUAGGGAAGCAAGUUUGGAGGAUUCUUACUACACCAACAUCCCUUCUUCAUCGUGUACUCAAAGCCAAAUAUUUUCCUAAGACGGACUUUCUCUAUGCGACGUUGGGAUAUCGUCCUUCAUUCACGUAGCGAGGAAUCCUUGAGGGACGGAAAGCCCUAAACCUUGGUUGCAGAUUACGUGUAGGCUCUGGGAGCUCUAUUCGUAUCUGGCAUGAUCGUUGGCUACCCCGUCCUAAAUCCUUCCGAAUCUGCUCUCCUCCCCGGGUAUUGGGUUAUCAUGCUCGCGUUGCGGAUCUUAUCCAUCAUGACCUCCGCAGCUGGAACACCGCUUUGAUUGAUGGAAUAUUUUGGGAGGAGGAGGCUUCUUUGAUUAAGAGCUUGCCUCUUUCCAAACACUUGACGAAUGAUAGAUGGAUUUGGCAUUUUACACAGAAUGGCAAGUUCUCGGUUCGAAGCGCUUAUCAUGCAAUAAUGGAUUCUGACAUCCUUGAUGUUGGUCAGACAGCGCAGGCAUCCUCUAGUGCUGGGAUCGAUGCAAUUUGGAAGAAGCUUUGGUCGCUUGAUGUCCCGAACAAGAAGAAGCAUUUCCUUUGGCGUAUUUGUCACAACUCUCUCCCCACACCAGACAAUCUCCAAAAACGAAGGAUACCUGUCGAGAACAUAUGUUCGGUGUGCAAUGAACCAUCAGGUGGCUUAACCCAUCUUCUUUUCGAAUGUCCUGUCUCGGUUCAAAUCUGGGCGCUUAGCUUCCUGGAGAGGAAAAUCCAAGCUUAUUGUCAACCCUUUGCAGCAGCUUGGGUACGGGAGAUUCUUGGGAGCUUGCUACCUAAAGACUGUGAGGAUUUUGCUGUUCUCAGUUAUGAAAUCUGGAACAACAGAAAUGACGCUCUCUUUAAUGGUAGGACUCGGGACCCCUUAACUUUGGUUAGCUAUGCUCUCAAUGGUCAGCAAGCCUUUCAUGAGGCAAACCUCCAAGCUGCGCCAGUCUCGUCACCACGGCCUUCUUCCCUUUGGACUCCGCCGCACGCCCCCCACUUUAAAGUCAACUUUGAUGCCUCUGUAUCCACAAUUCACCGUGUUGUUGGGAUUGGUGUGGUUAUUCGUGACUGUGAGGGCCAGUUUAUUGCCGGCUUAUGUAGGAGAAUCCCAAUCCAAACUAGUGCAGACCUGGCAGAGGCUCUUGCUGCAAGGGAGGCGGUAUCGCUGGCUAGCACUUUGAUGAUUCCAAGCUUCAUACUUGAGGGGGACGCGUCCUCAGUGGUUAAACAGAUUAGUAGCUCCGAUGAGAUUCUCUCUGACCUCGGCACUGUUAUAGAGGAUAUCCGUCUUUCCUUGCUUAAUCUACCCAUUCUGAGUGUGGUCUGGACUCCUAGGGAAGCAAAUAGGGUUGCGCAUAGUUUAGCACAGUUUGCUAGAUCUUCUAGCCUCUCUGAAUCUCUCUGGAACUCCCCCCCCGGCUUUUGCCAAACAAUUGGUGCUGGACGAUAUCCAGCAAUCUAAUUAAUACAACCUCUUUCCUUUUUCAAAAAAAAAUUCAGUACAAAUGAAACUCAUUUAAAUCGGGCAAAGUAGUUUAGUCCAUACGCAACUCAGCCCGCAUUGCAUAAGGCACAACCUACUACAUUUGAGGUUGAUCGGGUUGAGCUUGGGUUAGCCCAAGUCAAUUGACAGGUCCACUUCUUAUCUCAAAAAAAAAAAAAAAAAAAAAACAUGCGAAGAGCAGUGCCUGAGUGCCUCUUCUUUUCGUUUUCGUAGCUCCAAAGCUGCAGUUUUGUUUCAUUAUCCACUCUAAAAAUCAUUUUCCUCGAGGAAUUUGCAUUAUAAUUCUAUCUGUGGUUAAGAUAAUACACUAUAAUAUUCAGGAAGUGAAAUUCUGAAUCAACGAGUUUAAAGUUUUUGGCUCUAGAUCCUUCAAGAAUUGGAGUGAUGGGCAGCAGUGUUGGAAACUAUCCUUUGCAAUUAAAAUUCCGAAAGAGCCCUUCUUCAAAGGGAUAACCAACAAGCUACGUUGACAUUGAGGGGACAAAACACCUUUAGGCACCGUUUGGAUUGAAUGAAAGCAAGGGAAAGGAAAGGAUAUCACCAUUUGGUGUAAGUUGAAAAUUGAAAUUAUGUUUUAUAUAAUUAAUUUACCAGCUUUAUAAUUUGCAUUACUUGUGAUCAUGAUUACUCGUGCAUUGUGCGUGAUUGAGAAUCACCACACCCAAUUUAUCAUCACCUAGUUAUCAAAUUGAUAAUUUUAAUAAUUUUGGCCUAUAUUAUUUUUAUUACUUGAAAAAUAUGUGUUUUAUUUUUUCUGAUAUGGAUCACAUACACGUUCUAAUAAUUUCUAAGCUUCACCAAAGUAGUGUUGAUUUGUAUGCUUUGGUAUACAAACAGGAAAAAUCUAACUUGAAUUGUACAUCGCUCCAUUACUUAAUUAAAUAGAGUAAAUCCUAUUAGAGCGUGCGUUGAAAGAAAUCAUUUUCAAUUAUAUAUCAGUUUGACAUCUGAUUCCCAGUAUAGACGACGAAAUAUUUUCGCUAAUACUAUUAAAAGAAUCCUAUCAUUUAAGAGAAACUAAUCUGAUAUAUACUUAUCUUAAUACAAAUAAAAUUAGCAGCAAACUUAUUUUACAGUCUUUCUCUUUUGUUCUUGGCAUCCAACCUUUUACGACUAAACAUGAUGAGUAAAUUCUUCUUGAUUUAAAAUUUAGUAGAUAUAUACUGAUAUUAGAGCGAUGAGAUGUUUCUCUUUCAUUUCUUUCAUGUUUGCCCUGCUAGCUAUAUGGAAAAGAAAAAGCUUUAUCUACGUGCAUGAGUUUAAAGACAUAAUUUCUAAAUUUAGAGAUCAAAUUUAAGGCACACCCACCCUUAUUUAGACCCACAUUUUAUUUAUUCUAAGGGAAUAAACCCCACAAUAGAUCACAAGUCAUCUAAAGACAGAAUCCCAAUGUCAAAGCCCUACAGAUAAUAAAGCAAACAAAAAGUUAAAAAAAUUGCAGAGAGUUAAAAUGCCUUGAGCAAGAUUCCAAUAUCGCCAAAUAAUACAACAAUGAACUUGUUAAAAUUUUCAUUCAAUAACAAAUAGUUCUCCGUUAAUGCACUUUAGUUGCCCUUCUUCUGUCUAAAUAUACCUAGGGCGAGUGCCCAAACGUCUCUUAUUAUUGCUCUCGGAGACCUCAAAGCGGCAAUUUUGUUUUGACAUCCACUCCAAAAGUGUUUUUUCUUCGGGAGUUCGCAUUAUAUUUCCGCAAGUGUUUAAGAUCACAACCGCCAGAGAAGGUGCAUUGUCUACUAUAAUCUUGAGGAGCCGAAAUUCUAACUCACGAAAUUUGAAGUUCCCUAUCCUCAGUUCCUUCAAGAAUUGGAAUGAUGGGCAGCAAUGUUCAAAGCUAUCCUUUACAAUUAACUUCCAGAAGAGCCCUUCUUCGAAAGGAUAAUCACCCAGCUGCAUUGGAGGUGGGGAAAAGUCAUUACACAGAAUCAAAGCAAAUGGAGGAAAAUUCAUGUAGUAGGAAUUCGAGUAGUGACUAUUGUAGAGGCAGCAAAUCUAGCUGCGACAUGUGUUGUGCCGAAUAAGCCUGUUCGGUAAAGAUACUGAACAAAGCACUGGGAUCAGAAGGGAUAACUUCGAAUUUGUGGGGAUACACCUUAGAGAUGAACAUAAUCCCUUCUGCAUAUAAUCCGUAACUGCCAUAUAAACCUUGUAAUUAUCUGGUAGAAUAUUAUCAUUAACAGAAAGAUAAUUCCUACCUCUUCAGCUUAUCUUAUAACACUUCUAAAUAUAACAGGUUUGUUCAUACAAAAGGUACGACAAUUAUAUAUUAUAUCAAUUUUCCUACAUUAUUCUCAGAAAACUCCUCAUUGACUUGUGAGCGUCGGAGUUAGUCCCGUAUUUAUCUUUGUGUAGGUUAUUCCGAUACAGCAGUACUCAUGGCAUCCUAACUCGGUUCGGCUUAGGUGAUUUUUUGUACUUUCAACUAUGCAAUUUACGGGUGCAAUAAAAUAUUAUGUAUGAUUCUGUACAGAAAAUAUGUGCCACAGUUUUAAUCUGUUGUGUAUCAUUGUUAAUAUUUAAUAAUCCAUAUGACCACACGUAAUUGGCACGGUUUCAAAUCCAACAAGAUUAGCAGAAUAAUGUUGAAUAGUCUUACAUCAAUGUGUAUCUUCUCGAUCAGUGGACAUUUCAUGAGGAAAACAACGAUGUCGCAAGGGUUAACAAAAGUUGUCCGCCCACGAUAGCUCGAUCCUCCAAGGAACAAGGUAAGUUUCCUCAGCCUCAUAAGGCAGAACUGGAAUUCUUUGUACUUAAAAUCUUUCAACCUGGGAGAUAGCCCCUGAAUGAGAUAAAAAUCACAAUAACUUUAGCAUUUUAAUUUGUUGCAAUACCUCAAAAUAGACAUAUGAUAGUAAGAAUAGAACUGGACGAUUAUUACCUCAAGGAUGGAACUGCAAAUGGUGAGGUCAGUGCAAAAGCUGACAGACAUGAUGAUUUGCUCAACUUCAUCAAGUUGACGCAUCCUAUUUGGUCUGAAGUCGAAAGCAGCCACAUCCAGCGAAGGGAAAGAGCAGCUGAAAGUGAACUUGCAAAUGUCUCCAUUGUAAUGCAAUGACUUCAGAGUUGGAGCAUUGAUAAAAAUGGAGAGAAUAUUCCUAAACCCUUCCACUUUCAGUGAUUUAAAAUGCUUCAAAUAUCCAGCGGAAAUUCUGAGUCGAGGAUCAUUGUUGCAGUUCACAAACUCCAGAUUCUCAAGUAGCAAACAGCCGUUGAAAAUUGUCUCCGUGAACUUGUUCCCGAGACGAACAUUUUUAAGAACAAGAGUUUUCAGAAAUCGCAAGCCAUUGAGCUCCGUGGCAAACCCAACAAGACAGUUAUUCAGCUCCAAUGCUCUUAUAGGUGUAGCAUCUAUAAGGUCAGAGCUAAAGGGAUAAGGUUGAUGCGCACCUCUGAAGUCCAAACGGAGCUCUUCAACCCCCUUCGCGACCGCUGUCUGAAUCCAACCGUUCACUCGAUUCUCCUGACCGGUUGGAUCAAAAGUCAGGACCAAUCUCUCUACUUUUGGCCCCCAAUGUUGGUCCAAAACACGGUCGACGAGACUAGCAUAUGCAUCUCUAGGAAAUCUCUGUUUGUUUACCACGAAACACAGGUUACGAUUAAGCUUCCAGGAGUUGAUAAACCUCUUCGAAAGAAGUGCAGCCCUUGUGCAUUCUUUGAGAGGGAAGUGCGAUAUGAUCUUUUCGAUCAGUUCAUCAGGGAAGUUUUUAAGAGUUGAGGGAUAAGUUUUUCCAUCUCUUGUAAUCAUGGCUUUCUUGCUCUCCCUGGGAGAAGCCAUGAGAAGGGAUGAAAUCAGUUAACUCACUCUCUCUUUGGUGGGCUAAAGGAUGGGUGAAGAAAUACCAAGUAGAUGGCACACUUUUAUACAGACUCCAAGGGUGGUUGGUGAAGAAUCUGUAUGAUUUAGGGCAUUUUAAGAGUAAUUACUUACCCAUCUUGUAAGAUUUAAUUCAUAAUAACAAUCAUUGCAUGAAUAUGCAACAAUGCAUGUAACCGUUGCACUGUUCCAAACUCUGCAAAUCAAUGUUAUAGACAGGGUGCAGGGUCAAUUGAUUGUUCAAGGUGCAAAUGGCUCCUAAUGUCUAUUACUUGUUUGAUAGGUUUUUGUCACUCACCAUUCUCGGCUUGGGGUUUUGAAUGUAGAGGAUAAGAUGCAAAUCAUUAGCGGCAGAAAAGGUAAUGAAAAACGGCACCUGACUAGAGAUUUGUGUUGUUGCACUCAGCAUGCACAAAUGAUUCUGUUUUAACGUGGCCUUUGAAAGGAUCAACUUGGAUAUUUGGAUAUCGUCCCUGUUGGGAAUAAUCUAUGGUUGUUCACAUUAGAAGUUCAUGUUUGUUUUGUUAAAACCCUUUUUAUCAGUUUACCAUAUUUUUAAAGUUGAAAGAAUUAGUAACUCCUUAAAUUCCUAACACUCAUCCGGGGAAAAAGAAAAAAACAGAAAGAAGGGAAACAUAUGAUACGAGGUUCCAAUAUCAAAUUCAGUCCAAAAAUAAAAUAAAAUAGUACACAAUGUCCCACAGUGGCCGAAAUAUUUUUUGCAAUGCAACAGCAGAAACAAAAAAUAAUUAUUAAAGGGGAAAAAACAGCCCACCAGAUACUAUGCAGAUUAUUAGUUUUCACGAAAAUUGAACUGUGAGGGAAAAAUCUGCUUCUCACUAGUACCCGUUGCAGUCAUGUCAACCAUUGACAGUAUCCCCAAAUCAAAAAACUAGAGCUAUGAUCAGUUGUGUCGGUACUAAAGUGACCUCCUAAUACUAUACUGCUGUACAUUGUCAUUUCGAGAGAGGCGUCUGAGGUAUCUGACGGCUAAAAUUUGCGGUUGCCGUUGCUACGUAAAAGACACUGCAUACAAUCAAGAGUCGUUGAGGUUGUUAUUGUCAAUUUCGUCAUUCAGCUCCCCAAAACUUGCUGCUGAAACAUCAUCACUGUUUGUGAAAGAAAAGCUCCAUAUGGAGACACAAUUUUCAUCACCUAAACAGGGAAAAAUUAGCAACUACAUUAGUAGGAUCAGCGCAUAACACCAACCGUGCGUGCAACCUUUAGGCUUUAGUACCAACAAACUGGGGUCGAAAUACAAAUCAGGCAGGUAGGUAGAAUGUUAAAACCAGAAUGCCAUUCCCUCCACUAUAUUACCAAACAUCCUUUUAUUUAUUUAUUUGUAAGAAAUUGUGUGAUUAUAACAAAUUGUAAACUUCAAAACUGAUGUACUACAACAUAAUACAGGAAUUUUAGAGUCAAAAAAUUAUCCAAGGAUCAAACCAAAGAAAAUAUUGCCAACAGUAAAAUGAACUAUGUCAGAGUCAGAAAACUUACUACCAAGGAUCACAUCCUCGGAAGAAUCAUCAAAACAUCCGUAUCUCCGGUGCCCGGAAGAUGAAGCAGCCAUUGGCAAAAAUGGAUGGAAAGCGAAACCAUUCACAGUAUCUGCAACACCAAAUAACAAUAUUAGUAACAGUUAUAGUAGAAAUAAAAAUAAUAAGACCAAUAAUAUUGAUGACAGUGAAAGAAUAAAGGAACUACAUAUCAAAGUUAAGCUGCUAAUGAAAAAUCAAGAAAUUUUAAUACCUAAUGCUGCUUGAAAACUUGAUACCCACUGGCCAUUUUGUAGAUUAUACACAUGAACCAAGCCAUCCUAGGAUAGUGAUCAGAAUAUUAAAUUAUUCCGCAUUGUACUGCAUGGUCACUUGCUGUAGAUAUGUAGAAUUAAGCUAGAAUGAUACCUGACCACCAGUUGCAAGAUGUUGGCCCAUAGGCUCAAUAUCAAAAUGUAUCCGCUGAUUGGUAGUUUCAGUUGAUCUAUACAGCCUGCUCACAGAGACAAAGAGGAUAAAGUUUAACACCUUAAUCUCCUUCAAAUUUAACAAAAUUCCUAGAAAUUUACUGCCAAAGUGCUAAACAGUCAUGUGCAGGAAGAAACACAUGCACAACGUUCCAAAGCAAUAAAAUGGUAAAGCAGCACGUGGAAAUGAGGCAUGAAUGCAAAAACCAGAUGGAACUUCAAUGUGAAUAUAUUUCCUUAUAAGUAAAUUCCAUAAUCUGCUACCAGAAUGGUUUUAUCAGUGAGAAUGACCAUAUAAUUUUGAUCAAUAAUGAUUCAUAAAGAAAAGGAAUUAAUUUCUGAAGGAUUCACUACCGAAUAUUCUAGAACUUGUGUAAUGAAAGCAUGAAAAUUGACUGUCAAUGUUGGGCAUGCAAAUCAGGGCAUGCAAAUUUUGAUUUGCAUGCAUAUGCACUUGGAUUGUCUCAUGAAUGCCUCAUCUGACACCUAACAGCUAAACAUCAAAUAUUAGCAGAAAACCUCAACUGGUUGUGUUAAUUUGUGGACAAUACUAGUAUGAUCCACGAAGUUUACCAUACAGCAUUCUACUGGUUCAGAAGGUGGGAAAGAAAGGAAUCAUGUAAACUAUCAUGGUCAGAAAUAAAUGCAACCAAUAAGAAGGUGAGAAGGAUAUGAUCAUUAAAACUCAUGCAAACAAAUCAAUUCCAAAACCACCCCUGAAGAAAACAGAAAAGGCAUAGCAAAUCAGAGUACUAGACUCAUAAGGUUCAAUAUCGACAGAUGAUGUGAUGAAACUAAACACCAGGUAUCUAAAAUUGUCUCAACAAAAAGAGAACAAAAAAGCAUAUUACAGGGAUAUGGAUCUCAUGUAAUUUUCUUACAAGAAGUUAGAGGUUGUAUAAAAAGCCAUUUGGCAAUCUCAUGUGCCACUAAUAACGAAAAAGAAAAGAGGAGCAAAUCAGACAUAAGGACUCAAAUCCCAUAUCAAGAUAAAAAUUUAUAAUAUGACAGUUAAGGCAGUGGUAAAUCCAAAAAUUGCAUUAUAGUUAAGAUACACUAAUAAUAAGAAGAGAUAAGCAGGAAAAAAAAAAAACUUUCAAUCAAUAGAACAGCCAGUAUCAUCUGUGGAAUGUACAACAUAAGCAUACACACCUCAGUUAAUACCUCCAGUAAAGAGCAGAAACUUCCUUCCUUCACUGAUAGAAUUGCAAGACAUGCCAGCAUUUUAUAGUUUUUGAAUUUGAAAUUUCAUGGAUGGAAAGAUGAGCCAAUAUAAACCAGCUAGUAUCUUAAGAAGUACUGAUUACUAAAUAGAAACUCGUUCUUUUCUCUUAGCACCACUUUUCAGCAUGACAUAGGUAAUGAAUCCCACCAAUAUCAUAAUAGGAACUCUUAGGCUUGUUUAUCACUAAGAACAUAUCACUUACUUGUAAACAAUUUCAACAGCCUUGCGGAUAUCCCAGCACAGUACAUAAGGAUCCUACAAUACAUGUAAGAACUUUUUAGCAGAUACUUUUUAACUUACCAUUAUAAUGCAUCCUUAAACUCUUAUAUAUAGAGAAACACAACAGGUACAAGAGACCACAGAAAUUACCACAUAAAGCAGUGGAAUUAAACUGUAAGAAACCUCUAUAUAAUAGCAGAAAACGAGUAUUUUUACCCAAAACAAACCUAACGAUUCCACAACAUAAUUUUCACCGAAGGGCUUACUCAAAGUUCACAACUGAACAUGAUGCAGUGGAGAUACAUUUUUAAGCAGAUACUUUCAAAGUUAUGUCUUUAUUGCAACAAAAGAAAAUUUCGAGUUUGCAGGGGACCGCACUUGUACUAAUUUUAUGACUGGUGUUUCCCAUAAAGAUCAUCAUCCUCCAACCAAGAUUUUAAAAGGUCCAUAAUCACAUUGGAAACUCAAGAAUAUGUCUUUUACACAAGAAAAGGCAUUUUCCUCCUAUCUUAAGCUGUAGCUUACUCUUUUCUCAUGGAGAAAAAUAAGUUAUCCUCUCCUAUUCUUCGUGAAAGGAUGUUUAGUAUAAGAGCAUGAGAUGUCCUUAAUCAUCAUGCAUCAAAAUAUGUCGAAGACAGUUGCUUUUGCAAAUGUAGUUGUAUUAAUGAAAGUGCUACAACCUGUAUCAUGGGAAUAUCGAGGAAAGAAAUAGUUCUUCAGAGAUAAGGCUCGUUUCCCUUUUCUUGUGAAUACAAUAAAGUUAGCGUUGAAUGUCAACAAAGUAUGCACACCACCCUGAUAUAGACAAGAUUCCUUUAUUUGACAUUAAUGACAGCGCUGAUGCCUGUAGCAUUGGACAUCAAGACAGGAAAUUAUUGUUCAAAGAAAAAGCUCUUUUACUUUUCACUCAAUCAAGUCAGCCUAAAUCACAACAGUAUGCACACUACUCUGAUAGACAAAUUCCUUUUAUUUCACUACUUCUCUACUUUAUCGUUUUUCUUUAGUCUUUUUUUGCUCAUUUCUUCUUGCAAUGUUAGAGAUUUCUCAUAAUCAAUUUUACAAUGUUAGAGAUUUCUCAUAAUCAAUUGCAAAACUCGCUCAUCCACAUUACUCCACUAGUAAAAGAGUAACACCAAUUAUUUCUCCUGAAAAAGAAGCUAAAACAUGAAUAUGCAUUAAUUCUCUUAAUCAAACUGUACACAAUCCAAGUAUAUACUAAAAGAAAAAACAACAAAUGUAGAAACAUACCCUUCGCCCUCCGGUAUACAAGUAGUUUCCAUCUUUUGAAAACUGCACCUGACAAGGUUAAAAAAAAAAAUGAAGAGUCAUACAGCAAACACUGCAGAAAGUUCAACAGAGAAUAACUAGAUAUUCCAACUUACAUGUGUGACGCCACCUUCUUGGCCAUGCAGGACAUAUAGCAACUCCAUAUUAUCUUCUCUAUAUAUUGCAGUAGUUUGAUCAUAUGACCCUGUAGCUAGCAUUCCUGAAUUACUUGAACAAAAAGCAAUUGAGGAUAUUAUACCUGGAAAAAAAAAAAGGAAUUAGCUCAUGUCAACUUUCCAGGAAUCUUAAUGAAUACAGCGUAUUGAUUGAAAGUUCCAGAAAAAUGGAAAAGCUCAUUUGAGAUUUUAGUUUUCAAAAACUCAUGCACCAAAUUUGACUGAUUAAAUGCACAUUUCCUAGCAUAUUUCUUAAAUCAUUCCUCAGCAGCCAGUCUCGUAAAGUGCAAAAACAGUGGAACAUGCUUUCUUCUAUUGCAAGGCCAGUGAGCAGAUUUGGAAAACUUUCCUAUCAAAUGAAAUGGACUAGAGCAACUGAGAGGGAACUUUUGCUCGUGGUGGGCGAGCUUACAACAGGCUAGAGAGAGUAGAUGGCAAAGUUCACAUUGAAAUGACGGCCAACCUACUUUGGUAUGUUUGGGAGGCCAGGAAUAAUUGGAACUUUAACCUGCUCAAGCAGGAGGGCCAUUGGAUCUCCCAACAUGGUAUGGAGGAUUGGUUUGAGUUUAAAGAGGCAAACUUCCUAAGUAUCUACGAAGGAGAGGUGAAAAAUGAUAAGCUCAAUAGACAUGCCAAGAUUGCAUAGCUCCACUGUCCACACUCAUCCAUCAUCCACACAGAUGCAGCUUCGGACUCUUAGAGGGACAAAUAUGGUAUUGGGUAUAGCGGUCAAAGACAAUGGGGGCAGAUUAAUCACUCCAUGGUCAAUUCCAACCCCAUUAAAAGGAGAUGCUGCAAUAUUGGAAGCUCAUGCUAUUGGAAUUGCCUUGCUUAAAGCACUAGAGGAAAACUAGACGUCCAUCUUGAUACUUUCUGACUGCAAAGUUCUGGUUCACAAACUGAAUCAUGGUAGUGAGGACCUGUCUGACAUCAAUAUUAUUUUAAAAGGAUAUCAGGGCCUUGAGUAGAUCAUUUUGGUGUUGUAUUUUCUUCUUUGUUAAGCGAGAAGUCAACAUGUGUAGUCAUGGUUUGGCAAAAUUUACCACUAACCUCAUUAAUGAAACUAGGUGGAAGGAUAGUUUCCCUGUGUGGACUUUGAAAGCUGCACAAAGUGAUUAUCUGGCAGCUGCCAGUUAGUUUGUAUAUAACUUUGUAUGUAUCAAAGAUUAUGGGUUAUAUAAAAGAAUGACUUUUGCCAAAAAAAAAAAAAAAGGCUAGGUUUCUGGAUCCUUUAUGGACAUAAACUUUAUGUUAAUCUACGGGCUUGCCCAAGAGGAAAAAAAAUUAAGAAAGAAGAUAUGCUUCACUUUAGUGUGUUGUCAUUCAUCAAUUGUAUACACUAAUAAACAUUACCUGACUGUCCUUCUUUAUUUCCUUGAAGAGUUGAAAGCUGUUUAAAAUCUCUUCCAGGGCGAUGAACAUCAAAUAUUCUAAUAAACUUGUUAUAUCCAGCAAAUAUCCUGAGAUAAAAAACCUCAAUUAAUUUUAUCAAAAAUAUUACAUCAUAUGACUGACUCCUGGACAUUGCAUCAUGCUGAAGAGGAUAAAUGCUAAUCAGAUACUUUUGAGGAAAGUGAAGGAUGGUGGUCCAAUACAAGGAAAAGAAUUGCCACAUAUAGUCACUACUAUUUAGACAUGUCUCUUGAUGUGUUUGCUGGAAACCAUUUAUAACUUUGUAAAUUGUUCAGAUAAAAUGACAUUUUGACUGCUGAAUAGAUAGCACCUUUUUUUUUACUCUGUUCAGUUUUGAUAGGUGGAACUAUCAGAUAUUCAAUCAACCAGUCUUCUCUAUAUACUGCUUAUUCAAGAGAAACUGUUAGACAAGCAUGACAACUUUAAACAAUUUAGCUACUGCAAAUUGGUAAAUUUUUUCUUGGUGUUCGAUGUGUGCAACUAAUCUCAUUCCCUUUAAAGACGAGUAAUGCAGGACAAUGCACCAACCAGUAAAAAAAUGGGAUCCAAGAGCAAUAAAUAGCAGGAUAACCAUUUUUCUGAAUAAAGAGUAUUUUUUCCAGAACAUUAAAAAAUGUGACAUAAUCUACCUAGCUCGGACUGCAGACAUUCAUUGAGUAAUGUGAAUACUCGCAAAAAAGGCAGAUGGUCAAAAACAGGAAUGAAUGGCAUCUUUAACUGUCGGUUUAAAAAAAAUUCUUACUUAGUUCCAGCAAGGUUAAAGGCAACUGAAAAGGCAGUAAAGACGGGCAAUGCACCAACAAGUAAAAAAUAGGACCCAAGAGCAACAAAUAGCAGGAUAACCAUUUAUCUAAAUAAAGAGUUUUUCCCAGAACAUUCAGAAAUGUGACAUAAUCUACCCAGCUCUGACCACAGACAUUCAUUGAGCAAUGUGAAUACUUGCAAAAAAGGGAGAUGGUCAAAAACAGAAAUGAAUGGCAUCUUUAACUAUCGGUUUUAAAAAAAAUUCUUACUUAGUUCCAGCAGGGUUAAAGGCAACUGAGAAGGCAGCAGAAAUCUCAUCCAUAGCAUCAUAUGCACGGUAUGUACAACGAAGCUGCAAUUUCAGUUAAAACAAUCAGACUGUAAUUAAUCUUGAAAAGUAGAUACAGCUGAUGCAACAGCACAAAAGACAUCCACAAUCACAGGAUUCCAACAAGUAUAAUGGAGAAAAACUAACUAUAAGUGAUUGUAUACAUUAAAACAUGAUUUGCACCUGUCCUGAUGUAGCAUCCCAGAGAUGAAUAGGAUGGUCGCGUGUAGUACUUGCAAAUACACAGGUGUCUGGAGCUGAAACACAAACCAGACAAAUCCAGUAAAACAGAUCAAAAUCACAUAAAGAAACAGAUCAAAUCAGGAUUAAAACAGAUCAAAUCACAUCAAGAAACUAACAUACUUGAAGCAGACAUGUAGGGAUACCAACAAUAGUCGUAUACUGAUUCUCCCUCCCCAAUGACAAGGUUUGCAGGGUAUGAAUCUGUAAUUAAUCAGUGAUAGGGUAAAUGCAAAUGUAGCAGAGAAUCUAAAUGGAAGAGCAUAGACCAGUGAAAGAUACAGAAAUGGUACAAUUAGGAUAAGAAAGUACAUAGGAAAGAACGGCUUGCAUAUGAAAGCCUGUGGGCAUUGGAGCAAGUGCAAGGAAACAUUUGGUUGCAAAGCAAGAACAGAUAUAAGAAACUCAAAUCAAGUUACCAGCAUCCGAAGCAGAAGAACAAGAGUCCAGAUUGCUGCCACUUUCAUAGUAUUGCCUGGUACAACAAAGAACAAAAUUCAUCAGAACAACUAAUAGCACCAUCUUCCAGAAAACCAAAACAGAUAAUAUCAACAGUCCAACAAACCAUAUUCACAACCGUCUUGAUCCACCAAUAACAACAAGCUAAGCUGUUUUCUUUUAUUUAAGCUUGAUAACCAAAUGCUUGAUUGUCUCAAUGAUAAUACUUUAAAAGUCUUCCCAUUUACCAACACCAACAAUUAAGACAAAAUCUGAUAGACACUAUGUAAUUCGUAAAGCCUGUUCUUUGUUUUGGGUACAUGAGUUUCAGGUAAUAGUCAACUUUUACCUAUAAACUCUUCAGAAUCACUAAAUAGAAAAGAACAAUCAUUUUUUUUUACAGUUAUCCUACUCAUAGGUGAGAGGAAAGAAGAAAAAGCUAUAAGCAGUAAUUCUUUUACACUGUCAUAUUAAUCUCAUAUAGCUUCUCUUUCAAGUGUGUCAACCUAUAGCUACGGCAGAUAAAACAAAAUGAAUAAAAAUAAAAAGUAUAACUUGGUAGACAAAUAACAUAAGUGCUAAGAAUGCAAUUCUGUUAUAUGAACUACUCAACUAAAUGCCAUCCAUGCUUUAUUUCACAUGUCCAGUAAAUAGAAUAUUUUCCCAAUACCAUAAUGCUACUUUUCGUAAGUUUAUAGUCUUUCCCCCUUUUUUUAGGAAUAAUUAAUUGCAUUAUUAUACGAACAUUAAACUGCUAUAAGUAAUUCAAUCACUUAGUUGACUUUCUGGGUGAAAACAAUCAGUCUAAGAAUUGCAUUUUCUCUUAUUCCGAAGUAUCUUUUAAAAGCUAAUCACCUUCUCAUUGUCAUUCUAUUAUUUUUGGUUAAUAUAACUUUCGAGUGCAAGAAAAAUAAAAGCUUUUUCCGAAAAUGCACGAGUGUGUGUAUGUGUGUCUGUGUGUGAGAGAGAGAGAGAGAUGAACCUUACAAUGGGAAUACUCGAAGGGUGUUAUCGUCACAGCAGCUGAGAAAGCAAGAACCAUCCGGCGACCUAAGUUCAAUGACAUAUAAAAUCAAUGAAUUGAAAAAUCAAUCAACAGCAAAAAACGAAUUUUCCACACCAUAUAAAGGACAUUCUCGAAAAUAAAAGAACAAAAUUGAAGGAGCUUACCAUUUGACGGCCUUGAGAAAAUUGUUAGGGAUGGAAGAAUUGGUCCUGAACUGAUUGAAGAAAUGGUAAGUCCUGUAGGGAGGUACUUGGAAAUUGAUUAUUGGCCAUGAGUAGGAGGAUGAUUGCUCUUGCUCUUGCUCUUGCUCUUCCACUGGCUUUUCAGUAAUUUCACCGCUUUCUGGGUCGGACGUCGUCAGUCGCUGAUUAGCUACAGCUUCAGCUGCUGAUGCUUCUUCUCCCAUGGAGUCCGGCGUCGACCGUUUUUGGCUUGUGUUACCGCCAAAAACCCCCUGCCCGAAUUCCUAGGGGUUCAAGGCAUUUAUAGAAUUGAAACCGAAAAAAAGAAAAAAGAAAAAAGGAAAAAAAAGAAUGCUUUCACCGUAAUGGUUAUGGGAUGGGAUAAUAUCAGAAACCUCCUAUAAAGUUUCUCCUAAUAUCACUUAGCGCCUACUUCUGAAGUUUUAAAAAAUCACUUACCUCCUCCCAUAAUUGCAGAAUGACUAUAUUAACCCACAUUGGAUACACAACUCACAUAUCAAAUAAUGGAUUCAAAAAAUUAAAGAAAAAGAAACAAAAUUCACCUUUUUCUCUUUUCCAUUUUUCCAAUAUUUUCUCUUACUCAUUUUUUGGAGGAAUAUGCAAUUUUUUAUUUGUAGAUAUAGUAUAUUAAAUUUUGUUUAUCUUUUUCUUUUUACGAUUACAAUAAAGUAGGGUAUGACUUCUUUGUUUAUUUUGAAUAAAUUUUUAUAAUGAUUUAGUACAACUUAAAGGUUUAUGCCAUGAGUUGAGAAGAUGUUAGGGAAAAAAAUAAAGUUCAUAAGAAAUUGGUUUUGAACAUAUAAAGUUGAAUUAGUAUUAAUGCAUUUGUUUACAAAUAUGAUUUUUAUUUUCUAAAGUAUAUUUUUAUGGACUAUAACUUUGUAAUAUGGUGGUACUACUAAAAAUUAUUUUUUAUGUUGUGAUUUUUUUUCAAGUAUACAAAGUGGUUUAGGAGUAUUUUAUUUAGUAAAAUGAGCAAAAGGGAGUUUAGGAUUUUUAAAAAUUUUGUUACACAAAUAACAAAAGUUAGGGAGGUAAGUGAAAUUUUUAAAAUUUUAGGGAUAUUAAGAGAAAUGUUAGGGGAGAUUUUUGAGAUUAUCCCAAUAGUUAUUUGGGUAAUUUCACACACUUUUUUUUUUUAAUUUCUUGCCAAUCCUGUCAUAUAAUUUGAAUAACAUAUAUUAUGUGUCGUUUGAUGAGAUUAACUUAAAAAAAAAAAUUUAACUUGUCUAGCAAUUGGGAUUGGAAAGGUGUGAGUUGGGAUGAAAGUGUAAAAGUAAACAUAAAAAAAGUCUAAAUUUUAAUAUCCUUGUGUUUAUUACUCUGAUCAAAAUAAAAAGGAUGGAGGAUAAGUGGGCGACCAACAUCCUUAUGAUCAUCCCACAAGCUUUCUAGGCAUUAGUGACGCAUUACCUCGGUUUUCAAAGUUAUACGAAAUAAUAAAAAAGAGACAAAAGUAAUCAAGAUGCAAAAGCAUAUUUUUUGUUAAAUGUCUGUGAAAAUGCAUCAUAUUUGAUUUUUUUUUUUCACAAAUCCCACGUAAAUUUCCAAGGAUUUUUUCACUUUGUAAUAAUAAUUUAGUUUGAAUCUCACCUUAAGACAACGGAAUAGCUAUUCAGGCUGUAACUUGCAAAGAAUUACUACUGCAUAUAAUGUUGGUGCUACAAUCCACAAGAACAUCUGGUCUACAAUAAUGUUUGUACAGGUAUUUAACUUCGAUAUGCAAGCAGUAAUUUCUUGAACUAAUAUGUUUUCCAUGAUCACAGAUAAUAAUACAUCCAUAUUCCAUAAUAAUCAUCUUUACUGAUUUAAGCAACAGACUGAUUCAAAAACAGCCUUGGCCAACGUUUUAGAGUAACGUAUAAAAUCCUUUCCGGCUUUUCAGUUCCAUUAUUCUAAUGGGAGAGCUCAUUAACGAAUAACUCUCCCUAGAAUGCAAACAUAAAUGAAGCAAUGGAGGAGAAAUUGUUUUGCUUGUUUCUCAAGAGAUAUAAUCCCUAAAACAGAAAUCCUCCUCGAAUAUACAUGCCCAUGUUGCAACAUUGAGUGAGUCAAAAAAUGCAGUCAUCCCCCAAGAGUGACCUGCCCAGCCAAUGUUGUCAUAUGAAAUCAUAAUGCUAUUGUAUAAUUAUCGGCACAAGUAAUUGAAUCAUUAGUUGUUGCUAGGAGAAAGGCUCGUCAAGUAAGGAUCAUCCUUGUACUUUGAAUACUGCGGAAGAUCAAGAGCUCUCUCCGCAAUUUCUCUGUCCUCGUAAAUUUUUGCCACCAAGCUCUCAAGAGAUGGAAAAUUGGCCUGCCACAUACCAAACACAAUUAUCAGAAGCAGGAUGAGUGAAAGCAGAGAGAUCCGCAGGUUGAAGGCUGUAUUUAUGCCGUUGUAAACGGUAUGAUGUAACAAUACCUCAGGCCGAAUAUAUCCAACAAUUACUAAAUGCAAUUCCUCACCAUAGAAAUCCUCAGUGAAGUCAUGCAGCAACCAUGGUUCCUGAAAAUUUAUCAAAAAUCCUGUAAAGCGACAAUGGGAUAUAAAACAGCAGUGCAAAUAUGAAAAUGCCAAGUCAUGCUACACCCACUAUAGUUUUCUCAGCAUUGUUAAAAUAUGGAUUCCAACCAAUGCUCAUGACCAUCUUGAAAACACCUCGAGUUGGUAAUCCCGCCCACCCAUGGUAUACACCAGAGGGAUGUUCCGAAAGGAGAUCCAGAUAGCCCUCUGUGGAUAUAUUUGCUGAAACAUAAAGGCGAUAUUGUCAGUGUUGAACUUUCUAAUCUUUUACAUUUUUCCACAGAUAAAGAGUACAAUAAUCGUACAGACAUAUUUAUUAACAAAUAGCAAGUUUUUUUCUUCUGAUACAACCUGAAGGCCAGCCAAACUACCCAGAUUUCAGAAAGAAAUGAUACUAAUAAUUAUAAACACACGAGAGAUAAAAUGCAACUGUUCACAUAUUAUACAAUCUUAAUGAGAUUGAUGCCAACUUAUAGAGUUUGAGAUCGGUGCUUCUACAGUUAUGACCAUAGCAUGCGUCAAAGCUGUGACAAAUCUCAUGGUAAUGCACACAAAGAUGUCAAUACCUGUAGGAAUUCCCAACACCUUUGAUCCACGCCCAAAUCCCUUAAUGACAGGGCCUCCAAUAUGCCAAGGGUUAAUUGGUAAAGUCCCUUCUACCCCUGCAAUAUGUUUUCAGGUUGGAAAAACAAAAGACAAAGUAUCACUGACUAGAAUGAAACAGUCACAGGGGCUCACAAUCUUGGAAUGCAGGUAGGCUCCACUUUUCCAGCUGCAGAUCUAAAAGAGAAUUAAUCACCUCAUCUGCCGAAGUGUAGAGAUGGGAGUGUUUUGGGAUUGAUGGUACAGCAACCACAUUCAUUCCAGCAGCCUUACCAGCUGUAAUGCCUGGUCUGUGACAUCAAAUGGUAGUCUCAAAGCUUAUCAGACAUCAAAUAUAUGACUAACAAGGUGAAUAAAGCUUAAUGCCACAAAUUAAUUGGAGAACAGAUCAUAAAAAUGCACAAACAAGAAGUUUCACAAAACAAUAUUAAAAAGCUAAAGAUGAAUGAACUUAUAGUCAGAUGAAUAUAGGGAACCAAUAAAGUAUAUCAAUAAAAGCAGCAAAAGAAAAUUCAAAAUUAACAAUAAGUAAAUCAUCUGACAGACUCUACAUACAACUCUAAUAAAUAUUAGUUCCCAGAAUUUUGUGCACUGCAUUGGAAAAAGAAUAAUUCAUACAGGCAAGGACUCUCAGUGAACUUGACGUCUCCAUGUUACUUCAUAUACUUUCCUCCUAGAUCAAUGGACCCAAUUUAUGCAGCAGACAUGAACAAAAGUAAGCUUGGGUCUUAGAUUUUGGCUAUGUCCAACUUUCACCCAGCAGGAAAUUCAAGUAAAAGUUGUAGAAUGAACAAAAAACUAAUAGAUCGUGAGAAAAUUUGGGACAGGAAAGGCAACAUGUUAUUUAGAUUACAACAUUCAGUGCAACUCUUGAAAGACAAGUUUACAAGCAAUCUUACAUGAGCAUAAACGAAAUGACAUCACAUGCUGUCACUCAAUUUAUUUGCAUGACCUGAGAUUCAACAUUUAAACACCAUCAGACCCAAUAACAUAUUGCACAAGGAAAAGCCUUAAAUUACUAACAGCAGCUUUAGCUUAAACAGACAAAAAUCUUUGGCAAGAGUUAUUUCGGCUAAGUUAUCAACUAGCUUCUAACUUCUAGUUAGUUCCCACACUUGUGGAAAUUAUAGCAUUUAAAUCGGCAACAUGAAACUCUCUUGUGAAACACAUACCACAAAAUAUUCAAGUGUCUUCAUCACUUGUGAGAGCCUGUUUGGAUCUAAGAUGCUUUGGAAACUUCAUUUCGAUAUAAACCAAAUAGAUAAAUAUAAUAUGAAGAUAUCAAAUUUACAUGACAUGAUUACCUUAACAAACAGAAUAGAAUUGCUAUAUGUCUACAGCUGUUGUAUGCUUGAGAAUUUCUCUCUGGGAAAAUUCAAAAGAUACAGAAAAAACUUGACUGGUUGAAAUAACAGCCAGAUGCAUACUAGCAUGUCAGCUUGUUGGAGCCCAAAAUUUGUCCAGAAAGCUUAACCCUAGUUUACGAAUAUAUCCAAUAUGGAACAUUUUAAUGCAUUGAAGAUAGAGUCGAUCAACGUGGUUAACACUCCAACGAACUGCUCAUAAUAAGAAGAUCAACUGAUUUCAAACAACUCAUACCUCAGAAUGCAUCCUAAGCUAACAAACUUUCACAUUCAACCAAAAGCAAAAAUAUAACAGCCUUUUAGUUUCAUUUCCUGAAGCUUAAAAAAUAUGUCAAACACCAAAAGCGUAUCCAUACACAAAAGAAACAACAAAGUUUGAUUGGUGCAGUAGCAAUAGACCCUAUCUGCUAAGAGGACUUCCUGUGUACACGACACUUUUCAACAUUUUGUACCUUUUUUUUUUUUUUAUUUUUCUAAACAACAUGGAAAUAAAGCCAGCAUGUGCCACCAUGCUUGGCUUGAAGUAUUAUCUUAUGACUAAAAGGAAUUGCGUGUAUUAUUCUUCACAAACUAUAUGGAGUACAUUUGCAUAUAUUUUACUCGUGCCUUGGUUUCAGAAAAAACUUGGGAUACUUACAGAGAAUCUUCAAUAACGAGGCAGCUGGAUGGAUCUAUGUUGAGCCUCCUAGCUGCUUCAAGAAAUCUUGACCAACAGAACCCACAAAAAGAACAUAAUGAAAUCAAUAUCAUUGUUGUAUGAGUUUCUUAAUUUCCCAUGAAAGUGGCAUGAUCUAAAUCUAGUUAUUCAUCUUACAUAUCAGGAGAUGGCUUUCCAUUUGUAACUUCAUCACCUCCUAUAAUGGCAGAGAAGGAUUCCUUCCAGCCUAGAAGUGAAAUUGCAGAUAUACUCAGGAAAAUUGGAAAGAAAAAAGGGAAAAGGUUUCAUGCAUUUACUACUGGAAUCAGAAAGAUAUUUCACUGAGAAAACAGAUCUUUUUCUCAAAUUCGCGACUUCUUUGAUGGGAGCUUUAUGCACCAAAUUUACCUUGAUGAUAAAAAAUUUUAGUUUCUACAUUUUCCAGUGGUGAAUUUGAGGCCAAUGCCAUUGGCACACCAUGACCCCUUAAAUGAUUGAUUAACCGGUUUGCACCGGGUUGAGCUUUAAUAUUGCACCACCUGCAAUGAUAAGAGGUGACAUGUAUUUCAGAGCUUGAAUAAAAACUUAGGGACACCUAAAAACUAGAGAAGAAUAUACAAACGACACAGAAAAAUCUUCCAAAAACAAAAAUUAACAUGAUAACUUUUUAAGAGCCUGCGCAUCGUAUCAUUUAACAAUAACAAGUAUAUUAUGAGCCCUAUGAUAGAAGCAAAUUGUCAGAGUAAGUACAACUUCCAAAACCAACCUGACAGCAAUAUUGGAGAAAAGUAUUUGUUGAAUAAAGUGCAACAUAUCAGAAAAAAGAAAUUCAUACUAAGAAAAUUUAAUCAUCACCUACUCGAACUUAGUUGCUUAGUCAAUAAAACUUCACAAUAGUAAAUGUCAAAAAUGUAAUGUAACCGGAGACUAUCUCCAGGUUAUUCUUCUGUUUUUGAACAUUCAAUCCAGGAUGGUCUUCCAGAGAGGCGGGGGCUCUAGAACACUCAAUGACCAACUGAUAAGAAUUUACUUACAGAUACAAUGUGCAUCAUGUUUUACUCAAAUUAUUUGGCUGAAGAACAUGGAAUGCUACUGUUUACAAACAAAAGGAAGUUGCUCCCUCUUAAGCCAGAUGAAAAAUUACUAGUCAACAUAGUAAAUUCAAGGCUAUGUUUCUUUCUAUCUAAUAUGUCAGAUCAAAGUCAAAAAAUAAAGUCAAACACACUUGAAAUAGUGACAUUUUGUUUUUCUUUUUCCAAAGCCAAAAACAUUGGCGAACAUAAUGCAUAAAAGACUGGGUAUACAGUGCCAUUACUGCUCAGAGAAUGUUGGAGUAAUUUCAGCAAGAAAUACAUCAGGUGACAUUGGAAGCUCAUAAUCUUCUACAACUGCAGCAGCAGCCUCCAGAGGUGUCUUUCCUGCUAUCCUAUGAGCAUUUCUCGCAUCCCAUUGCUUCCCGUACUUAACCAGGUGAACUUUUAAGAUAUCAUUUACAAUUCCAUCUGUUCACAAAAUCAAACUCAAAUUACAAAAGGAGUGAAAUUAAAAAAAAAAUGUUCAUAAGACAAUAUCUGAAGCAAAACUUUCUAAACUCCCAAAGAUGUUGAUUGUUACAAAAAUGUGAAAUAAUUCUUUUACCAUAAAAGCAGACAACAAUGCGCAAAACCCAAAAAAAGGACAACAAAGACAAAAUUCAGGCAUUACAAGUGACCGACAUCUUCUAUACUUGAGAUAGCGAAGAGUAUUGAACUUCUAUGGCUACAAAGCACUUACAUAAUUAAGCAGAAACAGGAGGUCAAAAUAAUUCUUGUCUCAUUAAACCAUGAUUAAUCAGAUGUACGCCACUAAUUCUAAAUUAAGGUGUUAAAGAAUAGCAUAAAAAGUGCAACAGUAAUACAAUAAAGAGCAAAAGCCCACCUGUGUUUAGAAGUGUACCGUCCAAAUCCAGAAUGACACCUAAUACUAGCUUCCUUAGAGUUCUUGCCAUUGACAUAGGAACAGGUAUGUACCAACGUCAAAUAAUUAUUUCUCCUAAUCGUCUUGUCAACAGCAAACCUGAAAUUCCGGUUGGGCAAAAAGCAAAAUGACUCAUCAAAUUGUGUGCAUCCUAAACCAACAAUAGAAAUAUUUCACUGAGGACAACCAGACGAACGAAUGAAUAUAUUAGCAGACAUAAAUAAAUUCACACACGGUUAAACAGAUGAGUCUGAGAUGAAUGGGCAUGUCACUGAACCUAAUAACCAUCUAAACAAAAAUUUAAAUCAUCUGGAUGAAAUAUCUUAUUUUCAUUAUUUCUAUCAAAUUCUCUCUCAACUUUUGAAUCACUGGGAAAACUCAUUAUGCAUUAAAAAUUGCCUCCGAGCCCAUUUGUUCUAUUUGGAUUGAUGGCAUUAGAUUUGACAGAGGAUUUCGAAUCUGGUCACUUGAAAUACACAUUGAUUGGAGUGCAACGUUUGGGGAAAAAAUUUGAAUAUUAAAAGAUGAUUUCAAAUUCCAAAACACUAAUUGUUCAGGAAAAUAAACAAACACUUCAUAGGCAGAUUAUUGAAAAUCAUCAGUAACAAGACUCUUGGAUCCCAAGGCCAGCACCAAAUCACACAACAACAAUGCUGACUUCCGUCUAGUCUUUAAAAGCAGAGAGAUAGCACUACUUUGUGCUAUGGAAAAAGGUGGGGAAUCCAGGCUUGGGAGGAGAUGGAGAGGGUGAGGAAAGGAAGGAGGAAAAGAAGAGACAUGACUGAAAUUGCAAUCAAGAGAGCUCAGGGGCCCGCCACUUUCUGGAGAAAUUUCAAAUAACAGACUAGACAAGUGAAAUUGAUAUAAGCUGGCUUUUAAGUCCCAGAAGAAGUUUAACUUUGUUGUCCUCAAACACUAUGCUAUCCAACUCAGGAUUAUAUGAAUUGAGGAUGUGAAAUCCAAAUUAACUGAAUUUCAUCAAUUUAAACAAUGAGAUGCUCCAUUACUUGCUUCAACAAUGGAACAUUAAAAAAGAAACUAAAUCAUUCUAAAAUAAAACGUUAACACAGUUUUUUUUUUAUUUACUUCUAAGCUAGAAUGAAUAUUUACCAAAUUAUAUUACUACUAAUUACCUGAAGGUAAUCAAGAAAACAUUUUUAGCAUAAAAAUUCAGGAAACAGAAAUAGGAUAAAACUAAACUAAAUUAGGAAGAAAGAAUAUAACAAGAUAGGAUACCGGCCAACUGUUCAUGUCCUCAGUAGCAAUCUAAAUUGAUCAUCAAAAAUAACCAACGGAAAUCCCAAAUCAUAAGUAAUAAUCUGCUUUUAAUACCACCAUUUAAGCUAAGGAUUGAAGAUUCGGAUUAAAGUCUACCUUCUCAUGAAUUUCGAAUUAGAAAGAAAAAUAAAUUAAGAUCAAUCAAUUUUUACAAGCAAAUAUGAGAAAUCAGAGAAAUUAACCCAAAAAAAUUCUCUAAGUUACAGUGAGAAAAUAGAAGAAUUACUUCAAUUUGCCUCAAGGGCUCAGUGUUGAGGAGGACAAGAGAAAUUUACGAAUAAUCCGACCAAGAAAGUUUUUUUCGUGUGGAGUAGGGCAAAGAAAGUACGAGGCUAGCGGAGCAGGAGCAGAAGUUUAGCAGUGACGUUUGGCACUUGAGCUUGGUGCUGCUGCGUUAUUCAAAAAGCUUCCUGCCGCUGCGUCGUUUAUAUAUGUAACGGGGACCUGAGACGUCGAUGCUAAUUGCCAUCUCCGGUUUGUUUGGGUUAUAUUUUAUUUUAGACCCCUACAAACUUAUCCACGUGAAAAAUAUCCCCACCAUAUCCUAAUCUGAUGAAUUUUCGAAUAUCAGAAAUUAAUCUAAUAGAUAAACAAAGAAUUAAACAAAUAAAAUACAACGAAACUCAAAAAUAAAGAAAAUUUUCGUCUUCACAAAUCCCCAAAGAGUAGAGAGUCGCCUAUGUUGUCACAGUGUCACCUAGACUUAUGUCACCUAUGCUGUCACCUAGACUUACAUGACGAGAUAGAUUUACUAAUUGAUUAAAAUGAAAAAGAGGUAGCUACUUUUGAUUUUCUCUAAUUUUUUUUAGCUCUUCGUGUGCUGUUUUAUACUUAUAUAUGUUUUCAUUUGUAUUCAAUUUUAAAUAUGACUAGCAGUUUUAGCUCUACAAUUCCUAACCACCUUGGGCAUGUUUACAAUUUUUUUGAAAAAUUGAGUAGUAAAUGUGCAACAAGGAUCCUAAAAUCUCUUUGUUUUAAUAAUAAUAAUAAUAAUGCUAUUUUUAAUUCUCUUCUGUGAUUGUUAAUGCUGAAUAUGCUUUUGAUGAUGACUUCACUUUCUUUUCUUUUUUUAUCCUUUUCUGCUUUCUUUUGUUUCUUUUCUGUAGUUGAAGAUUUGGCUAGGACUCAAAGUCAUAAGGUUGAACCUCUUUAUUUGUUAUUAAUAUCUGUCUUGUUCGACCAAAAAGAAUGAAGUCCAGCAUAUCAAUUGUUACUUUACUACUUUGUAUUAUCAUUUGUACUAUUUAUUGUAAGGCCUUUGUGGUAUAUAUUUAGUGAAUGAAAUAAGAAUAAUGGUCACAAAAAAUAAAUAUGUGGGCAAUUUUCUAACCAAUUCAAUUGAAGUCUCAAACAUGGCUCUCGAAUGUGCUAACUCAUGCGACAAUUUAGCCGUGCAAGUUUUUAAUAAUCCCACUUUUAGUUGGCAACAAUUAUGCAGACAGCGCUAGAAAAAGAUGGAAAAAAUUGUGCAUACAAUUUUGCAAGACCACUAGCACAUACAUAUAUCUUGAUGAAUUUUAAGGAACCGCAGAAUUUCUAUCUAAUUUAGUGUGAACUUCAAUUCUUAUUAGAAAAAUGUGCAAUAUAUGUCGAGCAAAUUCGUAAUUACCACAAUUUAUUGAGUUUCAUAUGGUUGAGAAUUGAAAAGGGAUCUUGCAGAUUGAACAUAGAGCAUUAGCAGAACGCAGGGGAUUCAAUGUCUGCUACAAGUUUUUUAAAAACUUUAGCUACAAUAACCUCAAAAAACUUUUCAGAGUUUUUAAACUAUACAUUUCAAAAUAUAUAUAAAAAAAAACAUACUUCAAAAUUUUUUUUAAAAAUUCUACAAUAAACUACAGUAAAGUUUUACACAAGCACAUAAAAAACUCACGUUCCAAACGGGGGAUAAAAGGCACAUAAUUAGCUAACAACGUUAAAAUUCAAAUUAUAAAGUCCUAAUGACAUCAUGCAAUUCUAACACAACUAAUUUAUACGAACCCACACGAACGGCAUAUCUCUGUUACAAGGUUACAGACUUGCAUGGUGAAUUACAAUGAUUUGAGUUGGCGUUUUCUAUCCCAAAUGUUUAAAAUUUGGAUCAAUAUAGUCCCAUAAAUUUUGAAUAGUUAUAUAUAAUGUUUUAAGAUAAAAUAGAAUCAAAUAUACGGCAUAGAUAUUCUAAAAUCCCUAAAUAAAUCGAAACAUGGAAAAUCUGCACUUAAAUCAUAGCAGUGUCGCAAACAAGUUUAGUGUGCCACAUAUCAGACCUUGACAACUAAAGUUCAAGAGAAAAACCACACGGCAUAUACAAGUAAAUUAAUUUAAUCUAAUCACAAGACUCAGGGCCCGACGAAAAUUGCUGCUUGUCGGGACGAUCUAGGAUAAUUUAUCAAGGUUUGAGCUACCUCGGCAAAUCACCAAGUGUAGAGCAUCUUCUCAUCAAUCCAUCACCUUCAAUAACUAAUUCUUCCAAAAUAUUUGCAUUGGAAAGUAGAAAUUUUAUUGGCCCCAGAUAGAAUGCCAGCUGUUCUUUUUCUCUUUUGUGUACGAGUCUAUGUAAAAUUUGCAAGCUUGACUGUUUUUAGACGAAGAAGAAACAAGUUGUUGGACAUCCAUCCUUGAGACGUCCGUCCAGAAUCUCUCCCAAUCGAUGUCCACAGAUUUAACAGCUUCAGAGGAUAAAGCAAGAAACCUUCUUGAGAAAUAUGAUUGAUUAUGAAGUGCUCCAUUCACCAUCAAAUGCUGAAGAGAGAAGAAAUACAACGGAUCUGAAGGAAGUGCAAGAAUUCGUGGACCACAAACAUUUCGCAAGCUAAUCCUCUAUAGGGAGUUAAAAAGAAAGUUCAUAAAACUGCCCAAUAAUUAAAAUGAUUAGGCUGGUUGAGUUUAUAAUCAAACUUUCAAGCUCAAUUUGUGUUAGCAUGAGCCAUCUCCAGGGAUUCCAACGCGGCACAAGUAGAUAAUAUCUUCUCAAUCGAACCCCCCCCCCCCCUGCAGCCGUACAUGUUUUACUGAUAAUCUCCUGAGAGAUUUCCAUUUGAUCAUGCUAGAAGCAGAUGGUAUUUCCCACCUUUUCAAUCUCAACGAUUUCGAACUUGAAGCAAGGAAUAGAUGGCUUGGCAACACAUAAUCAUCAGCCCCGUAUGCAUGGCUGCUGUUUAAAUUUAAAGAAAAGUUCUCAACGUUGUUUUCGGAAACAAAUUCAACACAGCGAUCAACACAUUUUUCCAAAAGUUACUUUCCUGGCUUGUCUCCUUUGAACUUCUCGCUUCUUUUGCAGCCGUAGCACUCCCACCGCCGGCCGGCCAGGGUGUCUCUCUGGUUUUUCAUUAGAGUUCCGAGUUGUAUUUAGGCUAUGCCUUGGGAACUACGGUUGUUUGCCCUUUGGCCAUUUACUUUGGAGAGUCCAAAACAUAAGUCACACAAAUUUGUGAGUGUUAAAUUUUCAACUCUUAACAAGAUGGGUCGUUGUAGUAUAGUGGUGAGUAUUCCCGCCUGUCACGCGGGUGACCCGGGUUCGAUCCCCGGCAACGGCGAUUUACUUUUACAUCCAUCAUACAUUUUUCUUUUGUAGGAAUUGAGAGUGUGUUUGAUAAAAUUGAAAUUUAAAAUUUAAAGUGAUAAAACUGAAGUCUGAAAUCUAAAAUUUGAAAUAUGAAUCCAUUAAGUUAUUACAUUAUUAAGUUGUAAAUCGAUACAUUUGAAUAUAUAUCACAUUAAAUGAUAAGUGAAUAGUUUAUCACUUAUUUUUUGGAGCAAGUUUUGCCUACAAAAUUUAGCGUCACUUAAUUAAUUUAGAUAUUCAAUUUUUCUUUAUCAAAUACGUCUAAACAUAUUAAGAUUCGAAUCCAUUAAAUUUAAAUAUUAAAUUAAGCUAUCAAAUAAGGCCUAAAUCCGGAUUAUUGUAAGUUAGUGACUAUAUACUACUUUUUUUUCCUAUACACCCCCAAACAAAAACUGUCUUUUCUGCUAGUUAUCUGCACAUUCUGGUGUUGUUGGGCCUAAACUCCUGGUUAGGUUAUGCCCUGGGAACUACGGUUGUUUGUCCUUUGGCCCUAAAACCUAAGUCAAACAGGUUUGUGAGUGUUAAAUUUUUAAGUUUUAGCAACACCAGUCGUUGUAGUAUAGUGGUGAGUAUUCCCGCCUGUCACGCGGGUGACCCGGGUUCGAUCCCCGGCAACGGCGAUUUGCUUUUGCACCCUUGGGUGAAAGAGAUUGUUACACAUGUAGUGGUUUUUCCUUGUCAGUCACAGGAUUUUUUUGCUGAUACAUUGAUCUGGAACUGAGUAGAUAACAGCAUAAACUAAUGUAACAUCAGAUCAAGUGAAUAAUCUCAUCUAGGCUAUCCUGAUCUUAUUCCAAAAAAAUCUAGUUUAUGAGACAUAAAUCUGGGAACAUGGCUUGCAGACAUAAGACACUCCACUGCAUAUCCCAUUGAAAUUAAAGCUGGAGACGACAAUGGCCCUUUAUUGUGUGAAGGUCUUUUAACACCAAGCAUAAGCCAGAAACAUUUUUUUAUCAUGAGGAUUUAUUCUUAAGGUUUGCUGAAAGGGAAGAGAAAUUACGCACCAAUAUAAGUUCCUAUUUUUCUUCUUCGUCCAGGGUUUGUUUUAUUUCAGUUUUGCUUUUUUGAUGUGUGCUCCAAUUUGUCAGAAAAAAAUUGGAAAAUCUCCUUAUCGAUAUCAUUCUCACCUAGUCAAUAGCAAAGAAUAUUGACACGGAAAUCUGAAAGUAAGCAGCUGCACUAGCACAUAUAACAGGUCGAGUAUGCGUUAGUUAAGUUCCAGAGAAAUACUAUGCUCUGAGAGAGGAUCUUUUAAUGUAAAUGUAAGGACACUAGAAGAAUAUGUUGACAUGGAAAUCUACAAUUAAGCAAGAGAACUGCCGGAAUGAAUGAUCUCAAUGGUUGCUCUUGGAAGGAUAUAGGGCUAAGUAGAUAAAGAUCAAGUAAUAAAAUCCUGAUCUUUUUCCAACAGAAUCUUUUAUAUUUUUUUCAAUAAAAGCAUGCAGACGCCACUCCAUUGUCCCCCUUUGUUUAUCUUCCCCACCAUUUCUUAUGACUAUUUUUCCCUGUUUCAGAGUUGCCAAGCUUCUUGAUUGUGGUUUUUGCUACCAUCAACUUAUUCUUGAAGUCUUUCUUCCAAGUUUUAAACUUGAACUUCAGUCUCUCGAGCUCCUCUUCUGGAUUGGUGCUAGAAGCCAUCCUUCCAGGUUCAAUGUGAAUAAAGAUUCCAGUAUCUUCAUCCAAAAUCCCUUUCUCAUGAUCAAUGAGCUGAUCAGAAUUUGAUCUGCCAUUUAAUUGAAACCUAGAUGUAGGUGAUGGAUCAGGUGCAUCUUCGUCCUGAAUUUCAGGUAAAGCCAAAAGUAGGCCGAGUUUGCCCACAGCAUGUUUAGAAGAGCUCUUUUUAGUUGCUAGAUUCAUCUGCAAUAAUAUACAAACCAAGAUGCUUGUCAUCAGAAACAUUUGCCUACUUUCCCUCAGUUUCUUGAUGCAUAAAAUUUUCAUAGGGCAUCAUUUUCUCAGAAGGCAGCCUAAGGGAGGGAGUUGUCUAAGUGCAGUACAAGUUUAUUGCGUAUUCCAGUUCCUUACUUAGCUACUCUUGAAAUAAAUAAAAUACCAACCUGUACAUAUUGAAGUCAUCCAAGUCAGAUAUCAUAUGACAUUCUGAUGACAAAAUCAGAAUCAGAUACUAAUUUAGCAAGCUAAUAGGUUUUAUUGGGAUUAGGAGAAUGAUUUACUCAGAAGAGAAAAGAAGAUUCCAAAGGUCUCUUGCAUAUUUGUAUUUUCUGCCAAGUGAUACGACACUCAGGUCAUCCAUAGUGAACUUUGUAUUGCCUAAAUCGCUAUGAGAUGCUAAUGUUAUAAGGCAUCAGGUUCUAUUUGUCACGGGCAACCAUAUGUAAUUUGAAAAGGGUGAUUCCCACACACGCACUCAGAUAUAUAUAUAUAUAUAUAUAUAUAGAGAGAGAGAGAGAGAGAGAGAGAGAGUCUGAAACUCACUUGCAUAGAUGUUAACUGAUCUUGCCAUGUCUUCUCCAUCAAUUUCAUUUUUGUCUCAUAUUGCUGCCUUUUUCUCUCGUGUUGCUUUAUUUGUAGCUUUAAGGUGGCAUUUUCCUCUUUCUUCUUGUCUAAUAAGGCCUCUGUUUUCAGAACUCGUCUUUGUAGAUCAACUAAAACCGAGUAUGGAACCAUAAUUUGAUCCUGACAACAAAAAGACCGAAUGCGUCUAUCACGCUUCCCAUGGAAAUCACAAUCUACCAUUGAACUAGUAAUAUGAAAUGGCAGGAUAGCUUUAUUAGAUAACAUUUUGGAUUAUGAGAUACGCUAUAUCAAAAUGCAGAUCACCAAAACAGGAUUGAGGACAGUGGCUAUGAUAGUAAGAACAAAAAUACCUUAUUUUCUAGGUUUUUCACAUUCCUUGCUUCCUCAUUGAACUGUCUCUCUCUUUUGUCUGUGGAAUUGUAGUGCCUCCAUGCCAACCAACCACGGAUGCCUGAAAUGCAAAUUAGCCAUCAAGGCAUAUUGCCUAACAACACAAAUGAAUUCUCAUCCAAAAUUCACAUUUUCUUACUUGCUUGCAAGAAUAUUGCUGCCUGAUCCUUUUCGUCUAACAUGGUACUUCUGAGCUGACUUUUUACACAUUUCUGUAUGGCUCGAAUGGCUUUCAUUUUUUUCAUGAAACAUAUUCUUGCAUUUUCACCACGAACAACUGCAAUGCAACACAAAAUUGAGUUAGGGAUCCCAAAGUGAUGUUUUCUUGACUUCAAAAGUUCUCAGCAUCGGCAUUUUUGCACGUAAUAUGAAAUUCCUGAGUUUUUCCACAAUAGCUCUAAAGGACGUUCGGGACUAGCAUCUUAGAAGAGAUAAACAUGAAAAAACUAUUCUGAAGAAAAACAUUCAGGCAUUCUGAGUAGAAGAAAAGAUGACAACACUUGCAUGAUUGCAGUGUAAUUACUCCUAUUUUAAGCUCAUCAUACUGGCAGCAGGUUUGACGACCAUGCAGGCGUUUCCCCAGCAUCCACUGCAGUGCUAUUUCCUUUGCCUCGUCAAAGUUACCAACCUAAAAGUUACUUAUUUUGUAUCAGAAAACAGAAAAUGUUUGUAGAAGUAACUGAUUCAUAGAAAGUACAAAAACAUAAACGCUAAAACAAGUCAUGCAUCAGACUUUUGUUUCUCGCGACAAAAUCUCAAGAAAAAUAUUAGGAUUGGAAAAGAUGAUUUCCAUGUUCUUAGUCACGUUUGCAGUUCUUUGCCCAGCAGCAGAGACAGUUUAGUGUUUGUAAAUAUCUCAUGUUGUUAAAGUUUGCAGUAAAUGAUGGAUGAGAACAAAAGGUGAUCUUUUGAUGAUUAAAUUGAACAGCUAGAACGAGAAACAAGUUAAAUCCAUGUAACAUAAAGAUAAUUCAACAAGUUAUAAGACAUGAAUUUACCGAAGUAUAAGUUAGAUCCGAUAAGGAUCCUUUAAAUACAUAGAUAAACAUACUUCUUGUGGGAUUGCCUUGUCCGUCCCAGCAACAACAAUAACUUAGAAUCACAGUCACUAUGCCGUUUUUACUUGGAUAAUCUGUCUGACGACCAACGCUAAGGGCAUCAGGCAUGAAGAUCACAAUUUUAAAAUUCCUGCUACUGUCGAUAGUAAUUAGGAAUGAACGCAUGCUCUUUUAUCAUAGCCUAAACAAGUAAUCGAGAAAGAAAUAUAGUCUAAUCGUUCACAUUAAACAAUAUACACACCAAAAGAAAACUCAGACGGCCAACUUAAAAAAUUAAACUGAUGUAUGCAGAAAGCAAGCUAAUUGGAACGUAAGCAGCCAAAAUUAUCAGUGUAUUAGCGCACUAUACCUUAUCUGCAUUACCAUUUUCUUGGUUUCCGUGGCCACAUCCCGCAAGCGAGCCAUUCGCAGACUCAACUACAAAUGCUGGUGCUCCCACAUCAGGCCUUUCUGCAGACUCAAAAGAAUCACCGCUCAUUGCUCUUCUUCUCCCAAUCAUCCUCUCUUCACAACUUAAAGUGAUAUCUAGAUCACUUUUCUGGGAGCUAAGUGAUAGUUGCCUUCUUGACCGAGGCAGCCGAGCCCUGAUUACUGGACGAGUUGGUAAAGCAGGAGGCUCAUCCGCUGGCUGAUCCUCCAUUUGCUGGAGUUGUUUCAGCAUAAGCUCGAGGGAGCUAGGAGUCACCAUUGUGUUUGUUGCAGGCAUAGUUGAUUACGAGUGGUUCAUAAAAAUUUCAGACCUUGGCCAUCACAAGUGUAUAUUUCCAGACAAAGUAACCAAAUUCUUACACAUGAAGACAAGGUUUGCUGACAUAUUCUUGGCUUUACUUGUAGAUACAGAAAGCUAGCACAGUCAUUUAACUACUUUUAUUGGUGGAAUAACAGUACAAGACUCAGAGUACUCCUGCAUCUGUCACCUGCAAGAAAUCUUGCUUUGUUCUGCUUUUGCUUUAUCUGAAUCUCAAAUUUAAGGUGGGGCCCUGGUCCUGCAGCUUUGUUGAUGCAAGAAUAGUUGAAGUUCUGCUGGGUUAGGACCAUAAACCCUAUGCUAAAUCAAAUGAAAAUGAUGAUGAACAGUUUUCCGAAUUAGCUAAUGUAAAUCAGUAUAUAUAAAGCUUCUUGGAGCACGAGUGUUUAACAAGUAGGAGUGAUUAAAUGAUUAGUAAGAUAGCAAAACCUAAUUAUCUAAUCCCACCUUUUUAUUUUGAUCAAAAAGAGGGAACUUAAAUUAUGAACGAUCAAAUUGUUUGAUCAUUUUGAUCAUUGAUGAGCCCAAUUAAUUAUAUCUACAUGUAGAUCAUGUUCAUCCUAUCAGAACAGUUGCACUAAACUCUUAGAUUUGAGCAUGUUAAAGAGAUAUAGGGAUUUGGGGGAGGUCUUUGGGGGGGUUUUUGCGAUCAUCAAUCACAAUUGCAUGGUAACAUAAUAACCGUAAACAUAAAUAUAAUAAUAUAUAAACGAGUUAAUCUUGUAUAUAUUAAUACUGUAUAUAUUAUGAUGAUUGAAUACAUAAUAUGUAUAUAUAAAUUUUAAAUUUAAAUCAUAUAUCAUACAUUUAACGGUAACUUCACAAUACACAGCAUGAUUGUAGAAGCGGCUCGUAGCCUUAGGCCAUAUAAUCUAUAUCCUAGAAGAAGGUGGGGAUAAUGAUGAAGAGGACCAAGAGGAUUGCUUUGCAUGACCGCAUUAUCAUGGUUAUUCGCUUUGGAAGCACCACUAUUGUCAAAAAACAAACAGUUUAACUCAUUAUUGUCAUUCAGUUUUCCAUUCUUCAUAAUAAAUUAUCUCCAUCUUGACCACUGAACUUCCUCAGAUGGAGUGGGGAUUGGAAAACUCCUGUGUGCUUUGUCUUCAUUGAAGGGUAAAAUAAUGAGAAAAUAAGUGUCCGAGCAUUUCAUAUGAAAAGCUGCCUCCUGUGGUGGCUGGCUCCAUAACUGCAGAAGGAAUGAUGUCUUGUGAAAAGGAUGCCUCCAUCAAAAGACUUGUCACAUGGGGCAAAUAUUAUUGAUUUUCUAUACCGAAUGAUGCUUUAUCAACCCAUCUCUACCAGAACCACAAAUUUAAUUCCAUAACCAAUAAGUAGUGAUCAUAUUAGCCUUCGGAGCACAUUCUCGAGUCGGAUAUGCAGCAAGCAUGCAGUACGAGACACCAUCCAAAACAAUAGAAAUAAAGCAAAGCUGAUAGUGGCAGCCAGUCAAAGGUGGGGCUGAUAUCUGGUCUCCAAAUAGGGGAAUUAGGAGUCUCAAAAUCUGAAAAAAGAAAAAGAUACUACAAUUCUGUCCCACUAAUUGCUUCUCGGCCAUUUCAACUACAGGGCAAAAAUAGAAUAGUAGUACUAUUUAUUAACAGUUAAUUAGUCCAAGACUUCAAACCACCAACAUUCUUUUGUGUUUUUUUCUUUUUCCUUUUUUUUCCCCAAAAACAGCAGUAUAUUUUGCAACAUACCCUAACACGCGUCUAAUGGUUGCGGAUUAAGGGGGACGGUAAACACAAGUAUCUAAUUGCAGAAUCAAUCACCUUAUUAGAAAACUUUUGGGCUUUUCUUCCCCUUAUUUGUCUGUGAAGAACGGUUAAUUAAUAAAAAAAGGGUUUCACGAUAUUAAGAUUUAAAAGGCAGAUGCAGCGUUCUCUCUCUCUCUCUCUCUCUCUCUCUCUCUCUCUUUAUAGUUUAUAGGCGGUAGAAUCUGAACUCAUGUAGUUCAGAAAACAUUUUCUUUUAAUGUAAAUCAAUGUAAGAGGUGGAUGGAGUGGCAGGUUUUUUUUUAUAGAUAAGUGCGAUGUUUUAAAUCAGAAUUAUAUAUUUAUAAUUUUUCUCACUUUAUCAUUCAAUUCAAUUAUUACAAUCCCUCUUUUUUUAUCGUUCAAUUCAAUUCAAUCCUUUUUUCUAGAGCCAAUUUAUUUGUCUUUAUACAUUUGAAAAUUUGAAAAUAGUGUGUUUUUAACUUUUAUGCCGGUCAAUGGUCCUGAUGGAAGCAAAUAAUGACCACAUACCAGUAAUCAAGGUUUGACUUUGCACUUUAGUACACUGGUCUUGCCCAAAACCCUAAACACUAAAACAGGCUUUUGCGUUGAAUUUUAAACAAAAGAGAAUUAUUUUGAACCACUGGGCUUUUGGCAGUGGCCACCACCUACUUGGUGGUGGGUUGGGAGGCAAGGGUAUCAAAAAUAUCAUAUUUUUAUGAUUUAUCUCCAAAAGAAUUCAGAUGAAUGUGCUGUGCAUCCGUUUGGUUCGGUGGUAGUUCAAUCCCCUCCGACUUAUUCUUGCGCCUUCUUAGAUCCGUCCCCUUCCCCUUAAUAUAUGAUAGAUUAGAUUUAUCGUCUCCGACAAAAAAAAAUAUAUUUUUUGAUCUGACAGUCACCGUACUAACUGCGGAAACAAAUCAGACCUACGCUGCUCCUCCCUAAAACCCAUGCAGUGGAACUCCAAGAAGUAGGCUUUGACCAACCCCUCGUGGAAGUGGAUCUGACAUACUUCGUCACCUUUUUGUGGCAGCCCAAAAGGGUUCUACCUAAGAAAGUUUUGGGCCUCAAAGCUACUCAAUCUGCAGGGGCACUCGUUAACAACGAGGCGGCUUCGACAAAUGUUUGUGCUGUAAUUUUUUUUUUUUUAAGGAAAAAAUUUGGGUGGAUUCAUCUUCUAUCACAUAUCAAAAUAUACCCCCAAAAUUAUAAUUCACUUUCGAAAGUUCUUACAUAUCAUUCGCCAAUAUAACCCUCGUAUCGACAGCGAAAUAAAUUAGUUUGUUCUUACCAAUUAAAGAUAUCUCACAAAUACUAACUUUUUCAAUUUCCUUCUGAAAAUAGAAAUAUAUUCACCGGUCUAAAAUAUUUUCAACAAGUCAAAUAAAAUUUACAAGUUCGGUGAUAUGCACAAGCUAACAUAGGAAAGCUUCAACCAAGUGCUUAAGUUUGGCCACUCAUAGGUUUGAGUGUUCAUAUUCCCCUUCCAAUAGAUUUAGGAUGCGUUAGAUAAAAUUGCAAUUUUAAAAUUGAAUUUUGAAGUCUAAAAUCUGUAUGCAUUAAAUUAGUUAAUUGUUAAGUAUUAAAUUUCACACAUUUGAAUAUAUAUUACAUUAAGUGCUAAAUGAAUAGCUUAUCACUUUUUUUUUGAAACAAAUUUUGCCUAGAAAAUUUAGUAGCAUUUAAUUAAUUCAAAUAUUCUAGUUUUAGUUAUCAAAUGCAUCUAAACGUGUUAGAAUCUGAGUUCAUUAAAUUUAAACAUUGAAUUAGGUUAUCAAACGGCACCUUAAUCUAGAAAAUGCAAAAAUGAUACUACUAUCAUGGUCAAAAAUUGGAAGUUCGGUUCCCAUCUCGUAAAUUUAUUCACUUAUUUAUCUGUCUAUUUGAUAAACUCGUCAAGCUAAACAAGAAAGUGCAAAAUUAGCACUACUUUGCAAUCCAGGCAGGAUUUCACAUUUUCACUCCGUCUGAUUUCAUUCUCCAAUAUACAGUUUGAGUCCUCCUAAAUGUUUAUACAGUAGAAGUAGGUUGUCAUCUUUGUUUAAAAACCACCAGAAAAAAAAAGAA
rnacentral:lncRNA from 1 species